ACAAGGCCACUUGGAGGUCUCGUGGAAUUAUUUCAGUGAGUUUGCGGCCAAUCUUUGUACUCUUUUUUUUUUUGCGAAAAGGCCGAAAGCAUCACACGUCCUUGCAUAUACACCAUACAAAAAGAUAAUAAAUUAUUGGAAGUGCCAAGUUCUUCUUGGUCAUGUAUCCACCGACGACGUGCCAUGAGCAUAGCUCGAUGCCGUCCCUGGCUAUCGCCUUGGCAGAAAUAACUUUUAAAAUCCAGGAGCUUGUAGAAGCAGCAACCUAAAGGUCAUCGAUGCAAACCAAAAGAUGCCAGCCGUCGUGAUCUGUGAAGAAAUUGCCACCCUGGAGAAGGAAUAAUAAGGGCGUGUUGCGUAGAAAUCUCUGCCCUGGAGAAGGAAUGAUAAGGGCUUGUAGAAUCUCGGAAGACCACAAAAGCCGGCUACACAUCGAGCUGCCAAGUGUACGGGAGAACUCGGUACUCAUCAUGUCCAAGUCAGUGAUGGGAUUGGUGAUGCUCAGCAUGGGUAAGUCCUGGUGUGCGGGCCUAGUUUUGCAAUGUUUUAUACUCAUGCACUUUGUGGGGAUCUAAAGCAUUUUGUGUCUAUUGGAACUUAUACGUGUAAAACGAUGUGCUAUCCACUUUGGUUUGCUCCAACAUCUCAAAUAUAAUUGUACAUUAUUUGUGGGAGAUUCAUGGGAUUCCUAUGGCAAAUUCCCAUGGGAAGAAACAAAGGAAAAAUACCUGGUGUGAUUAUAUAGAGGGGGCCUGCAAACAUAAAAUGCAUGACAUGCGAGCUCCUUCACUCACGCCUACUCAUCGGUUCAUCCCUCUAUCAUGAUUAACUGGUGUCAAAUCUACUCAUGCUAAGCAUGCAUUGGUGAAUUAACUACACAUGCAUGCUUGAAACAUGAGAGGCAUUAACAUGUGUAAUAGAUCAUGAUCAGUUCAUGUGUUAUAGUAUGCUUUUCUCGUGAAUAGUUAAUGUGUUGUAUCUACAUGCAUCAUACCCCCAGCAACAAGCACCAAAAAAUACCCAAACUAUGAGGUGUGCUCCAUCAACCAGGGGUGCACUCGCCACCCACGCUCAUCACUGAAACGUGUUGUCCUAAACUUUGUACUAAUUAAGGUUUCAAAACUAUAGAGUCCUUGGCUUUGUUUUGAAGCCUGGGGUAGCCUGGGGUUGAUGAAAUGUGUUAUGUUAAAAUUGUUUUUUAACAAGAUGAGACAAAAUAUUAGAAAAAAAGAUCGACCAAAUGGUAAAAUAGACAAUAGGUGUGGUGGGCAAAAGCAUGUGUAAUAACUGAACAUUUUUUGAGGGGUCUAACUGAAAACAAUUAUAAACAUUUUUUUGUAAAUCAUGCCUUGCUAGAAUGGAAAGUGCACCUUCUUGUGCCGUUUAUCUCCAGUACAGAGAGGCUACCAAACGAUUUAGUGUCUGAAGCAGCCGCGUGCGGCGCCAAGGAGACGGCCGGUGGAUGAUGAUGACGAGGAGGAAGCUCCCGAACUACACGAUCGUCGGACACCAAGUGUUCGGUCCCGACAACACAGCGCUAACGCCUACUAAUCUUCAUCUCUUGCAAGAGGAGCGCAGCAGAGUCCGUGCCGAUGGACGAUGAUGAUGACGACGAGGAAGCCCCUGGACUGGACGACCGUUUGGCGAUUCAGCGUCGACCAACACCCAUGACGACAAUGCUCACCCCUACUCCCCCAGGCAAAGACCGCGAUGCGCAAUACAUGGCAAACCUAGCCCAUGAUGCCCGGAAUCGCCUUGACAAGAUCCAAGUAGCAAAAGAGGACCAAUACAUGGCACUAAAGUGUUUUGACCCAAACAUCAGGAAGGUGGUAUUACCCCAUUCAUGACGAACGUGGCAAAAGAAGGAAACAGGUACAACGCUUGCGCAAAGCUGGAUACAUGGCUGGACGAUUACCAUACCUUCUAGGCCUGCAAGGCGAAAACAACUUGGAAGCCUGUCGUCACCUACCUAUCAUGCUGGAGGAUACCGUACGCCUAUGGUUGAAUAGCCUCGAAAGAAAACGACACAAGAAGGGCAUUAAGUUGGAAAAUCCUAUUAAAUCCUAUUCGCGACUCCUUGCGAUGAAUGGUCAAGGUUUCGCACAAGGGCGGAUGCAAGCGACGCGACUUGGGCCGGCCCAUUCCUAGCUUUGCACAGUGCGGCCAAGGUUUUAUUAUGCUGUUUAUUUUUCCUCAUUCUGUUUUUCACUUAGUUUCUGUUUUUCGUUUUUUUUUUUAUUUUUCCUGUUUCUCCUUUCCUUUUCAUUUUACCUUUUCCCGUAUUUCCUUUUUCAAUUUUGAUUCAGAAAUUUUCAAAAUGUUUGCAUUUCCAAAAUUUCUUCCAAUUUUUUAAAAAGUCCUGUUUUCUACAUUUUAUUCAGAAAUAUAAAAUAUGUUCAAAAUUUCAAAAAAUCAGAACUUCAAAAUGUUUGUGUUUCAAAAAUUGUUCGUGGUUAUGAAUUUUGUUCGUAAGUAUUAACAAAUGUCAACAAUUUCAAAAAAUGUUCAUGAUUUCAACUUUUUGUUCAGAGUUUUAUGAAAUGUUCCACUUUUCAUGAUUUCAUACUUUUGUUCAGAAAUUCGAAAAAUGUCCGUGUCUCAGAAAAUAUUUGCAUCUCCAAAUUAUUGUUCGGGAGUUUCAAAAAAUGAAUGCAUUUCGGAAAAAAUGUUCAUGUUUUUGAAUUUCUUCGGGAGUUUAAAAACUGUUCAUGUUUACAAAAAUUGUUCGGCAGUUUAAAAAUAUUCCACUUCUUCAAAUAUGUUCACAAAUUAAAUAAAAGUACAUGAACUUCAAAAAAUAUUCCACCUUUUUCUUUUCUUUUCUUGCCUCUCAUUUCAAUAUUUUAUUUUCGAUUUUGAUUUUCUUUCUUCCGUUUCUUUUUCAAUUUUUUUAAAUCGUUGUGUUUUAUUGUUUUGUCGUCCAGGAUUUUCAAAAAGUUUGUACUUUUCAAAAAAUGUGCAGAAUUUCAGAAAACAUUAUUGUUAUAAUUUUUUGUUCACAAAUUCAAUUAAUAUUCGUUAUUAGCUAAAAAAUAUUACCGUAUUAUACAAUAUGCCUGCUUUUCAUAAAAAAUCUAUAAGUUAAAUUUUUUCACAUUGUCAAAUUAUGUUUGGGAGUUUCAGAAAAUCUUCCGAUUUCUAAAUUCGGUCAACAAUUGUUCAAUAAUGUUCAAGUUUCCAAUUUUUGUUGGGAGUUUCAAUAAAUAUUUUCAUUUAAAUAAUUGUUUGCGAAUUAAAAAAAAGGUUCAAGUUUGAAGUUUUAUUCAUAAGUUUCAAAAUAUGUACACAAGUUUUAAAAACUAUUUAUGUUUUCAAGUUUUGUUCGGGAGUUUCGAACGAUGUUCCCGAACGAAAACAACUUAAUGGGAACAAUGUUUUUUAAUGGGAGAAAAAUUUGAAAACCUGAACAAACUCUGAACCUAAUGAACAAAAUUUCGGAAAAAGUGAACAAAAUUUGAAACAUAUUAACUAAAAUUUAUAGGUUUGACCAUUCUCUUAAAUUUGGAUAAUUAUUCAAAAUUGUGUCCAAAAUUCAGAAUACCGAAUUCCUAACAUUUUUCAAAAGUACGAAAUAAUUGUGAAUCAUUUUUGAAAAUAUGAUCAUUUUUUGAUAUUUUGAGCAUUUUUCUGGAAAGUUGUAUAAAAUGUUCCAAAACAUGUCGACCAAUGUUUUUAAUAAUUGGAACAUUUUUUAAAAUCAUGAAAAAAUUUAAAAAGGAGAAAAAUUGCAAUGGGUGUCGGAGCUGAUCGAUUCUUAUUCAGGUUUAUGGAACAUCUACUUAGUUCGACAUAUAUUCUCCCCUGCCGAAGCCGAAGCUAUCUUGAACAUACCUUUGAGAGCGGCUCGAGGGGAAGAUGUGGUGGCAUGGGCUUCCGAGAAGUCUGGAAUCUACACUGUUAAAACAGCGUACCGCUCUCUGAUGAAUCAAAAAGAGCAACGAGCUCUAGAUGAAGGGACGGCUACAGAAACCCUAGUGACAGAACAACAGAUGUGGUCGAGAUUGUGGAAGCUCAAAGUACUACCAAAGGUUCGGGUGUUCUGGUGGCGGGUUUUGAGAGGCAUUUUGCCUGUCGAAUCUGUCCUUAAACACAGACAUAUUUCUGAUAACAGUGCUUGCAAAUUGUGCUUGGAUCUUGAUGAAACACUUAUGCAUGCACUCCUCAACUGCGCACAUGCGAGGAAAUUCUGGGAUGUGGCACCGGAGUGGCUUGCUAUACAACGACCUGAUGUGCAACCUUAGUCGUGGAAAGUUGACAUUUUAUGUGAUCAACAGUUCUCGGAGGUUGAUAGUGUUGGGGAAUGUCGCAUGGGAAACAAAAUUUUUCCUACACACACGAAGACCUAUCAUGGUGAUGUCCUUCUACGAGAGGGGAUUUCCGAUCUACGUACCCUUAUAGAUCACACAGUAGAAGCGUUAAGAAACGCAGUUGAUGUAGUGGAACGUCCUCACGUCCCUCGAUCCGCCCCGCGAUCCGUCCCACGAUCCGCUCCGAUCUAGUGCCGAACGGACGGCACCUCCGCGUUCAACACACGUACAUCUCGACAAUGAUCUCGGCCUUCUUGAUCCAGCAAGAGGGACGGAGAGGUAGAUGAGUUCUCUGGCAGCAUGACGGCGCUCCGGAGGUUGGUGGUGAUCUAAUCUCAGCAGGGCUCCGCCCGAGCUCCGCAGAAACGCGAUCUAGAGGUAAAACCGUGGAGGUAUGUGGUCGGGCUGCCGUGACAAAAGUUGUCUCAAAUCAGCCCUAAAACCCCACUAUACAUAGGAGGGAGGGAGGGGAGGAGGCAGCCUCAAAACCUAAAGGUUUGGCCGAAAUUGGAGGUGGAGGAGUCCUACUCCAAUCCUACUUGGAGUAGGAUUCCACCUUCCCACUUGGAAACUCUUUCCACCUUGUGUUUUUUCCUUCUCAAACCUUAUGGGCCUUAGUGGGAACUUAUUCCAGCCCACUAGGGGCUGGUUUAUCUCUUCCCAUAGCCCAUGAGACCCCUUGGGGCGUGACACCCCUCCUGAUGGUCCCCGGCACCCCUCCCGGCACUCCCAGUACACUACCGAUGAGCCCGAAACUUUUCCGGUAAUGCACGAAAACCUUCCGGUAACCAAAUGAGGUCAUCCUAUAUAUCAAUCUUCGUUUCCGGACCAUUCCGGAAACCCUCGUGACGUCCGUGAUCUCAUCUGGGACUCCGAACAACAUUCGGUAACCAACCAUAUAACUCAAAUACGCAUAAAACAACGUCGAACCUUAAGUGUGCAGACCCUGCGGGUUCGAGAACUAUGUAGACAUGACCCGAGAGACUCCUCGGUCAAUAUCCAAUAGCGGGACCUGGAUGCCCAUAUUGGAUCCUACAUAUUCUACGAAGAUCUUAUCGUUUGAACCUCAGUGCCAAGGAUUCGUAUAAUCCCGUAUGUCAUUCCCUUUGUCCUUCGGUAUGUUACUUGCCCGAGAUUCGAUCGUCAGUAUCCGCAUACCUAUUUCAAUCUCGUUUACCGGCAAGUCUCUUUACUCGUUCCGUAAUACAAGAUCCCGCAACUUACACUAAGUUACAUUGCUUGCAAGGCUUGUGUGUGAUGUUGUAUUACCGAGUGGGCCCCGAGAUACCUCUCCGUCACACGGAGUGACAAAUCCCAGUCUUGAUCCAUACUAACUCAACGAACACCUUCGGAGAUACCUGUAGAGCAUCUUUAUAGUCACCCAGUUACGUUGCGACGUUUGAUACACACAAAGCAUUCCUCCGGUGUCAGUGAGUUAUAUGAUCUCAUGGUCAUAGGAACAAAUACUUGACACGCAGAAAACAGUAGCAACAAAAUGACACGAUCAACAUGCUACGUCUAUUAGUUUGGGUCUAGUCCAUCACAUGAUUCUCCUAAUUAUGUGAUCCCGUUAUCAACUAACAACACUUGCCUAUGGCCAGGAAACCUUGACCAUCUUUGAUCAACGAGCUAGACAACUAGAGGCUUACUAGGGACAGUGUCGUGGGUAUAAGCCUGACAAUAGAUGUGUAGGGUACGAAUGAGAUGGGCAGAGUCCUAGAUACAGCGAGGUUUUAUGAGUUCAGGCCCCUCUACGGUGGAGGUAAUAGCUGUCGUGGGUAUAAGCCUCACAGUAGAUGUGUAGGGUACGAAUGAGAUGGGCAGAGUCCUAGCUACGGCGAGGUUGUAUGAGUUCAGGCCCCUCUACAGUGGAGGUAAUAGCCCUACGUGCAAUACUUAAGAAAUAAUGCAACAACUACUAACAUAAUUCUAACAGACUUUUAGCAUCGCUACGAGUGAGAAAGUCUCACCAUAGUCAACUGUUUGAUCAUGUCGGAAACAUCUUUGCGACAAGUCGAGCUUUUCUUAAUAGUGACUUAUCACCAUCGUCGUUUGUCUUCCUUUUAAAGAUCCAUCUUUACUCAAUAGUCCUACGACCAUCAAGUAGUUCUUCCAAAGUCUACACUUUGUUUCCAUACAUGGAUCCUCUCUCGGAUUUCAUGGCCUCCAGCCAUUUGUCGGAAUCCGAGCCCACCAUCGCUUCUCCGCAGCUCGUAGGUUCAUUAUUGUUCAACAACAUGACCUCCAAGACAGGGUUACCAUACCACUCUGUAGUAGUACGCGACCUUGUCGACCUACGAGGAUUGUAGUAACUUGAUCCGAAGCUCAAUGAUCACCAUCAUCAGCUUCCACUUCAAUUGGUGUAGGCGCCACAGGAACAACUUCCUGUGCCCUGCUACACACUAGUCGAAGUGAUGGUUCAAUAACCUCAUCAAGUUCUAUCACCCUCCCACUCAAUUCUUUCGAGAGAAACCUUUCCUCAAGAAAGAACCCGUUUCUAGAAACAAACACUUUGCUUCCGGGUCUGAGAUAGGAGAUGUAUCCAACUGUUUUGGAUAUCUUAUGAAGAUGCAUUUAUCCGCUUUGGGUUCGAGCUUAUCAGACUGAAACUUUUUCACAUAAGCAUCGCAACUCCAAACUUUCAAGAAACGACAGCUUUAGAUUUCUCUAAACCUUAGUCUAUACUGUGUCAUCUCAACGGAAAUACGCGGUGCCCUAUUUAAAGUGAAUGCGGUUGUCUCUAAUGCAUAACCCAUAAACGAUAGUGGUAAUUCGAUAGGAGACAUCAUAGUAUGCACCAUAUCAAAUAGGGCGUGGCUAAGACGUUCAGACACAUCAUCACACUAUGGUGUUCCAGGUGGCAUGAACUGCGAAACAAUUUCCACAUUGUCUUAACUGCGUACCAAAACUCGUAACUCAAAUAUUCAUCUCCAUGAUCAUAUCGUAGACUGUUUAUCCUCUUGUCACGACGAUCUUCACUCUAAAAUAGCUUUGAACUUUUCAACAUUUCAGACUUGUGAUUCAUCAAGUACAUACUCCUGUAUCUACUCAAAUCGUCAGUGAAGUAAGAACAUAAUGAUAUCCAUUGCGUGCCUUAGCACUUAUUGGACUGCACACAUCAAAAAGGCAUUACUCCCAGCAAGUUACUCUACUUGUUUCAUGUGGCAUGUUUUGCAUGUCUCAAGUGAUUCAAAAUCAAGUGAGUCCAAACGAUCCAUCAGCAUGGAGCUUCUUCAUCCAUUUUACACCAACAUGACUCAAGUGGCAGUGCCACAACUAAGUGGUACUAUCAUUAUUACUUUUUAUCUUUUGGCACUAAUAUUAUGAACAUGUGUAACACUACGAUCGAGAUUCAAUAAACCAUUGAGGGUAAUUAUUCAAGCAAAUAGAAUAACUAUUAUUCUUUUAAAUGAAUAAUCGUAUUGCAACAAACACGAUCCAAUCAUGUUCAUGCUCAACGCAAACACCAAAUAACAAUUAUUUGGGUUUCACCACCAAUCCCGAUGAUAGAGGGAGCGUGCGACGUUUGAUCAUAUCAACCUUGCAAACACUUCCAACACGUAUCGUCACCUCGCCUUUAGCUAGUCUCCGUUUAUGCCGUAGCUUUUAUUUUGUGUUACUAAUCACUUAGAAACCGAACCGGUAUCCAAUACCCUCGUGCUACUAGGAGUACUAGUAAAGUACACAUCAACAUCAUGUAUAUCAAAUAUACUUCUUUCGACUUUUGCGAGCCUUCUUAUCUACCAAGUAUCUAGAGUUGCUCUGCCUCAGUGACUGUUCCCCUCAUAACAGAAGCACUUAGUCCCGGGCUUGGGUUUAAUCUGGGGCUCUUCAUUAGUGCAGCAACUGCUUUGCCAUUUCACGAAGUAUCCGUUCUAGCCCUUGCCUUUAUCAAAACUUAGUGGUUUUACUAACCAUCAACUAUUGAUGUUCCUUCUUGAUUUCUACUUUCGCAGUGUCAAACAUCGCGAAUCGCUCAAGGAUCAUUGUAUCUAUCCUUGAUAUGUUAUAGUUCAUCACGAAGCUCUCACAGCUUGGUGCCAGUGACUUUGGAGAACCAUCACUAUCUUAUCUGGAAGAUCAACUCCCACUUGAUUCAAGCGAUUGUCGUACUCAGAUAAUCUGAGCACACGCUCAACGAUUGAGAUUUUUCUCCUUUACUUCGUGGACAAAGAAUCUUGUUGGAGGUCUCAUACCUCUUAACAAGGGCACAAGCAUGAAAUCACAAUUUCAUCUCUUUAGAACAUCUCUUAUGUCCCGUGACGUUUCAAAACGUCUUCGGCGCCUUGCUUCUAAGCCAUUAAGUAUUUUGCACUGAACUAUCGUGUAGUCAUCAGAAAUGUGUAUGUCGGAUAUUCACAACAUCUGCAGACGACGCUCGAGGUGCAGCACACCGAGUGGUGCAUUAAGGACACAAGCCUUCUUCGCAGCAACGAGGACAAUCCUCGGUUUUACAGACUCAGUUUGCAAAGUUUGCUACUAUCAACUUUCAAUUAAAUUUUCUCUAGGAACAUAUAAAACAGUAGAACUAUAGCGCAAGCUACAUCGUAAUUCACAAAGACCAUUAGACUAUGUUCAUGACAAUUAGUUCAAUUAAUCAUAUUACUUAAGAACUCCCACUCAAAAAGUACAUCUCUCUAGUCAUUUGAGUGGUACAUGAUCCAAAUCCACUAUCUCAAGUCCGAUCAUCACGUGAGUCGAGAAUAGUUUUAGUGGUAAGCAUCUCUAUGCUAAUCAUAUCAAGUAUACGAUUCAUGCUCGACCUUUUGGUCUCAUGUGUUCCGAGGCCAUGUCUGCACAUGCUAUGCUCGUCAAGCUUAACCCGAGUGUUCCGCGUGUGCAACUGUUUUGCACCCGUUGUAUGUGAACCACACCCGAUCAUCACGUGGUGUCUCGAAACGAAGAACUGUCACAACGGUACACAGUCGGGGAGAACACAAUUUCGUCUUGAAAUUUUAGUGAGAGAUCACCUCAUAAUGCUACCGUCGUUCUAAGCAAGAUAAGGUGCAUAAAGGAUUAACAUCACAUGCAAUUCAUAAGUGACAUGAUAUGGCCAUCAUCAUGUGCUUCUUGAUCUCCAUCACCAAAGCACCGACACGAUCUUCUUGUCACCGGCGUCACACCAUGAUCUCCAUCAUCAUGAUCUCCAUCAAUGUGUCGCCAUCGGGGUUGUCGUGCUACUCAUACUAUUACUACUAAAGCUACGUCCUAGCAAUAUAGUAAACGCAUCUGCAAGCACAAACGUUAGUUUAAAGACAACCCUGUGGCUCCUGCCGGUUGUCGUACCAUCGACGUGCAAGUCGAUAUUAACUAUUACAACAUGAUCAUCUCAUACAUCCAAUAUAUCACAUCACAUCGUUGGCCAUAUCACAUCACAAGCAUACCCUGCAAAAACAAGUUAGACGUUCUCUAAUUGUUGUUGCAUGUUUUUCGUGGUGACCAUGGGUAUCUAGUAGGAUCGCAUCUUACUUACGCAAACACCACAACGGAGAUAUAUGAAUUGCUAUUUAACCUCAUCCAAGGACCUCCUCGGUCAAAUCCGAUUCAACUAAAGUUGGAGAAACCGACACUCGCCGGUCAGCUUUGAGCAACGGAGUUACUCGUAGCGAUGAAACCAGUCUCUCGUAAGCGUACGAGUAAUGUCGUUCCGAGCCGCUUCGAUCCAACAAUACCGCAGAAUCAAGAAAAGACUAAGGAGGGCAGCAAAACGCACAUCACUGCCCACAAGAACUUUUGUGUUCUACUCGAGAAGACAUCUACGCAUGAACCUAGCUCACGAUGCCACUGUUGGGGAACGUCGCAUGGAAACAAAAAAUUUCCCACGCACACGAAGACCUAUCAUGGUGAUGUCCAUCUACGAGAGGGGAUUUCCGAUCUACGUACCCUUGUAGAUCGCACAACAGAAGCGUUAAGAAACGCGGUUGAUGUAGUGGAACGUCCUCACGUCCCUCGAUCCGCCCCGCGAACCGUCCCGCGAUCCGUCCCACGAUCCGUUCCGAUCUAGUGCCGAACGGACGGCACCUCCGCGUUCAGCACACGUACAGCUCGACGAUGAUCUCGAUCUUCUUGAUCCAGCAAGAGAGACGGAGAGGUAGAUGAGUUCUGUGGCAGCGUGACGACGCUCCAGAGGUUGGUGUGAUCUAAUCUCAGCAGGGCUCCGCCCGAGCUCCGCAGAAACGCGAUCUAGAGGUAAAACCGUGGAGGUAUGUGGUCAGGCUGCCGUGAAAAAAGUUGUCUCAAAUCAGCCCUAAAACCCCACUAUACAUAGGAGGGAGGGAGGGGAGGAGGCAGCCUCAAAACCUAAAGGUUUGGCCGAAAUUGGAGGUGGAGGAGUCCUACUCCAAUCCUACUUGGAGUAGGAUUCCACCUUCCCACUUGGAAACUCUUUCCACCUUGUGUUUUUUCCUUCUCAAACCUUAUGGGCCUUAGUGGGAACUUAUUCCAGCCCACUAGGGGCUGGUUUAUCUCUUCCCAUAGCCCAUGAGACCCCUUGGGGCGUGACACCCCUCCUGAUGGUCCCCGGCACCCCUCCCGGCACUCCCAGUACACUACCGAUGAGCCCGAAACUUUUCCGGUAAUGCACGAAAACCUUCCGGUAACCAAAUGAGGUCAUCCUAUAUAUCAAUCUUCGUUUCCGGACCAUUCCGGAAACCCUCGUGACGUCCGUGAUCUCAUCUGGGACUCCGAACAACAUUCGGUAACCAACCAUAUAACUCAAAUACGCAUAAAACAACGUCGAACCUUAAGUGUGCAGACCCUGCGGGUUCGAGAACUAUGUAGACAUGACCCGAGAGACUCCUCGGUCAAUAUCCAAUAGCGGGACCUGGAUGCCCAUAUUGGAUCCUACAUAUUCUACGAAGAUCUUAUCGUUUGAACCUCAGUGCCAAGGAUUCGUAUAAUCCCGUAUGUCAUUCCCUUUGUCCUUCGGUAUGUUACUUGCCCGAGAUUCGAUCGUCAGUAUCCGCAUACCUAUUUCAAUCUCGUUUACCGGCAAGUCUCUUUACUCGUUCCGUAAUACAAGAUCCCGCAACUUACACUAAGUUACAUUGCUUGCAAGGCUUGUGUGUGAUGUUGUAUUACCGAGUGGGCCCCGAGAUACCUCUCCGUCACACGGAGUGACAAAUCCCAGUCUUGAUCCAUACUAACUCAACGAACACCUUCGGAGAUACCUGUAGAGCAUCUUUAUAGUCACCCAGUUACGUUGCGACGUUUGAUACACACAAAGCAUUCCUCCGGUGUCAGUGAGUUAUAUGAUCUCAUGGUCAUAGGAACAAAUACUUGACACGCAGAAAACAGUAGCAACAAAAUGACACGAUCAACAUGCUACGUCUAUUAGUUUGGGUCUAGUCCAUCACAUGAUUCUCCUAAUUAUGUGAUCCCGUUAUCAACUAACAACACUUGCCUAUGGCCAGGAAACCUUGACCAUCUUUGAUCAACGAGCUAGACAACUAGAGGCUUACUAGGGACAGUGUCGUGGGUAUAAGCCUGACAAUAGAUGUGUAGGGUACGAAUGAGAUGGGCAGAGUCCUAGCUACGGCGAGGUUUUAUGAGUUCAGGCCCCUCUACGGGGAGGUAAUAGCUGUCGUGGGUAUAAGCCUCACAGUAGAUGUGUAGGGUACGAAUGAGAUGGGCAGAGUCCUAGCUACGGCGAGGUUGUAUGAGUUCAAGCCCCUCUACAGUGGAGGUAAUAGCCCUACGUCUCAGUGCUCUCAGAGCUUGUUACCGAGUAUAAUAUGGAGUACAAUGUUUUUCUAACCCUUUUACCAGUGGGGGAGGGCGGCUUAUAUAGAGUGCGCUGCCCUCCACAACGGUUCUGAUUCAAGGGUGGAGUAGUGGCGAUUGAAUGCAUGCGUUACAGGUAACGUAUGCUAUAAAUGCUAGUAAAUGCACCCGGAAACGUACGGCAGUUUCCCUCCAGAGAGGUCACGACGCACCGAGUGUAUCCAGUCGGUAGGCCCGGUGUCCUUCGAGUGUUAGUCUUCGACUGGAUGAUUCUGGGCCUGUUACCGACUGGAUGAUGGGGGCACCUUACUUCAGUCGGGCAUACUUAAGGUCCUGUCCCUUGUGUGGGGUAGUCCUUGGGUAGGACCUGUAGGACAGGGCUAUGACCCUACCCUAGGACUAUGACCCCAUCAUUAGUCCCCGAAUGGAUUGGGGUUGAAACGUCAAAGCAGUGCUCGGGGUUCAGAUCCGACUGGAUUAGGUCCGGCUUGGGCGUUGCUUGCCUCUAUCCAUUUUAUCUCUCCUGACUAAUGGUCCGAGUGGAUGUGUUCUGCGAAACAGACUGUCGGGAACCGAGUGCUUUCGCGGCAUCUUUUGACGCGACCGGUCAACUGACAGCGGCGGAUUUUCCGGGAUCUCAAAUUUCGGGCUCCGCGCGCUUAGCGGGGGCGACGUUAGCGCGCUCGAGUAGCGCCUGACUCCUCGAUCCUCGUGCCUUCAACUCCUCCGCCGAUAUCGCCGCGGCUGGUUGGGCAGAUAAGAUUUCGGGCCCGCUCGCCAGCGACCCGGUCGGUGCUCUAUUUAACUCUGGUCGACGAGACCCUUCGGUUACGCUCGCCGAAUCCUCUGCUCUUGCUCGCCCCGUCUUCCUCGCCACCUCCUGCGCUCAUACACCCUUCUAUUCUCCUCCUUCUCGAGAGCUCGCCAUCGUCGCCAUGACCAAAGGUUAGACCAGCAAGAUGGAGGCAAGGAAGAAGAAGAGCAAGGCGGCGGCUGCCCAGCGGCGGUAGCGGCCAUUGCCGGCGGGAUGGAUCCAGGGAGACUUCCUCCCCUCCACAGUGACGGAGGGGGACCUGCUGGAGCUGGUAGAGCACGGCCAACUCGUGCAUAAGUCUUGGAGGCUGCCGGCGGACGACGAGGUUGAGCCGGCGCCACGGGAGGGGGAGCGCGUCUUGCUCCUCAGCCAUAUUCACCGAGGUUUCUCUCUGCCCCCGCAUCCUUUCUUCAAGGGUAUCAUGAAUCAUUUUGGUGCUCAACUCCAUCACUUCCCUCUGAAUGCCAUCGCCCACCUUUCUGCCUUCAUUGUUUUGUGCGAGUGCUUUAUUGGUUGUCCUCCCCAUUGGGGUUUAUUCAAACACAUCUUCUCCGCCCGCUCCCAAACCAUAAAACGUCUUAGUCAGUCGGAUGACAAGACGCAUCUCCUCCAGCUCUGUGGGGGUCUAGGGUUUCAGAAGAAGAGUCGGAGCAGUUACCCUGCUCUCCAAUUGAGCGAGUCGGUUAGGAACUGGCAGUCGACGUGGUUCUACUGCCAGGACAUAGCCUGUCCGAACGCGUCGACUGGGCUUCCUCCGUUUAGUCUAGACCGUCCUGCUCCGCCCAAGCAACUCGCCCUCUCGAAAGCUGAGAAGAACGACAUCCAGCCUUUGGUCGAGGCACUCGCGGAUGUUGUCAGGAGGGGGUCACUGGGAUUGACUUGCUGGAAGUCUUCAUCGGUCGGCGAAUUCAGCCUCUGCAAGCCCGCCACCACGCUAUGUGGCACUACGCAGGGCCCGAGGACUCCACUCGGACCAACGUGGAGGGCAUUCUCGAAGAGAAGGUGACCUCAGGGGUGCUCCAAAUCACGGGUCCCUGUGAGAAUCCCAAGGGAGCCCGCCGAGUGACGCCUUACAGUGCGGACAACCCUCCACCGAAUCAGGUGAGUAGCAUUAGCCGAGUGCGUUGAACUGUCUUGAUUUCAGCAGUUCAUUUAUAUCUCUACGUGAUGCUUAAUCGUUUCCGACUGAAAUUCAUGCAGGCGUGGACCAACUAGUUUUCCCCCGUCUCGAACGGGAAAUCGGAGGAGGAAGAGGAAGAAGGCAGCCAGAAGGGGAGCGUGGAGAGCGACGAAUACGUCUUCGACAGCGGAGAGUCGGAGGAGGAAAACAACGAGGAAUAGGAAGAGGAUGAAGAGGCAGACUCGCCACCUCCACGGCCAGAGCAUCGGAGUAAGCGUCGGCAUGAGCCUGCCGUCCCUUCAGCUCCCCCUGCGUCGUCGAGUGCUCCGCCUGCUGUCCCGAUGGUACCGAGUGUUCGAGGCACCAAGAGGGUGAGGGACGCAGCCGCUGAACCCGCAGGCCAGUCCUCCAGGGCGCCCAAGCUGAGCGGGCUCAAACCUCGGAAGGCUCUGCCGCGGAUGAGGAUGGCUAUCCCCGUCACCUCCACGUAAGUGAAUCUAGUUUUUGGCUCUUUCUGUUGACCGAGUGAACUCUUGCUUUACAAGUAGAAUGGUCUUCACUCGACAGGGUUGCCACUUCUGCGACCUCGCCGGCCCGCCAAGGGGACGACCCCAUGGACACAGACAACGUCGUUUCAUCUCAGCCAGGUAUGUUGUGGGAGAGUCGGGUGUUUUAUUCCUGCAGACUGCGCCAUCUCUUUCUUCUUCUGAGGCGCUGUGUUAUUCGGCUUGUCAGGGGAGAGAGCCGACCCGGCCGUGGAGCCCGUCGUGGAGCCUGUCCCUGAGGCUGCUCCUCCUGCUGCCGCCCCUGCCGCCGACGACACACCGAACGAAGUGCUUCCGCUGACUGAACCGGUGCUGGCGGGUGAGGAACCGACUGGGGCGAACCUUGGGAUGAACCAGGAUCUUCCCACGAUUCCCAGUUCGUCGAAUACUGAAUUCAACAUUCGAUGUGUCCCAGAGGAGCAGGUGGGAGCGGCCAAGGGGGCCAUGGUCCAGGCGGAGCUGAUGGCCGGAGAGGCCAAGAGGGUUUAUGACUCCGUUGCGGCUUUAUAUCAGCGGAGCUUGGAGCUGCGCGAUGACAUCCGAGUAAGUAACCUAGUAAGUACUUACUUUUCUUCUGUAACCCACUGGGUGUUGUCUGUGGUUUGCAAUGGGUUCACUCCGAGUGAACCCAGUGGGUGUAGUCCCCGAGACUUCUGUCGAGUGCUUGCACCGACAGUUGUCUUUAUACAUUUGGUCUGUAUUUUUGUCGUGUCCGUAGACAAGAUUUCCGAGUGCGAGUACUUACUGCAAUUGGAGCACUCUUGUGGUAAGAGUCCCCUAGAGUAAACUGCACGCAGGUCGAGUAGUAUUAGCCUCGGAGACGUAGGUGAAAACGUGCACCUCAAUAGGGCAGACCUGCUUGAGGUGCAUGCCAGUGGGGUCACUCUUAGUGAACCCACUGGGUGUAGUCGUCAAGACCGCUGUCGACUGCUUGCGUCGGCAGGGGUCUGAAGAACUUAGUGUGUGAACUGAUAAACUUGCUGACUACCCUUUGUUUCUUGGUGCAGAAAACUUGUGAAAUGGGUGUUGGAAUUAUGCCCUAGAGGCAAUAAUAAAUGUAUAGUUAUUAUUAUAAUUCGUGUAUCAAGAUAAUAGUUUAUUAUCCAUGCUAUACUUGUAUUGAAUGAAGACUCAUUUACAUGUGUGGAUACAUAGACAAAACACCGUCCCUAGCAUGCCUCUAGUUGGCUAGCCAGUUGAUCGAUGAUAGUCAGUGUCUUCUGAUUAUGAACAAGGUGUUGUUGCUUGAUAACUGGAUCACGUCAUUGGGAGAAUCACGUGAUGGACUAGACCCAAACUAAUAGACGUAGCAUGUUGAUCGUGUCAUUUUGUUGCUACUGUUUUCUGCGUGUCAAGUAUUUGUUCCUAUGACCAUGAGAUCAUAUAACUCACGGACACCGGAGGAAUGCUUUGUGUGUAUCAAACGUCGCAACGUAACUGGGUGACUAUAAAGAUGCUCUACAGGUAUCUCCGAAGGUGUUCGUUGAGUUAGUAUGGAUCAAGACUGGGAUUUGUCACUCCGUGUGACGGAGAGGUAUCUCGGGGCCCACUCGGUAAUACAACAUCACACACAAGCCUUGCAAGCAAUGUAACUUAGUGUAAGUUGCGGGAUCUUGUAUUACGGAACGAGUAAAGAGACUUGCCGGUAAACGAGAUUGAAAUAGGUAUGCGGAUACUGACGAUCGAAUCUCGGGCAAGUAACAUACCGAAGGACAAAGGGAAUGACAUACGGGAUUAUACGAAUCCUUGGCACUGAGGUUCAAACGAUAAGAUCUUCGUAGAAUAUGUAGGAUCCAAUAUGGGCAUCCAGGUCCCGCUAUUGGAUAUUGACCGAGGAGUCUCUCGGGUCAUGUCUACAUAGUUCUCGAACCCGCAGGGUCUGCACACUUAAGGUUCGACGUUGUUUUAUGCGUAUUUGAGUUAUAUGGUUGGUUACCGAAUGUUGUUCGGAGUCCCGGAUGAGAUCACGGACGUCACGAGGGUUUCCGGAAUGGUCCGGAAACGAAGAUUGAUAUAUAGGAUGACCUCAUUUGAUUACCGGAAGGUUUUCGGAGUUACCGGGAAUGUACCGGGAAUGACGAAUGGGUUCCGGGAGUUCACCGGGGGGGCAACCCACCCCGGGGAAGCCCAUAGGCUUUGAGGGUGGCGCACCAGCCCACUAAGGGCUGGUGGGACAGCCCAAAAGGGGCCCUAUGCGCAUUGGAAGGAAAAUCAAAGAGAAAGGAAAAAAAAGAGGAGGUGGGAAGGGAAGGAAGGAUUCCCACCCACCAAACCAAGUCCAGCUCGGUUUGGGGGGGGGGGAGACCUUCCCCCCCUUGGCUCGGCCGACCCCCUUGGGGCUCCUUGAGCCCCAAGGCAAGGUCCCCUCCCUCCCACCUAUAUAUACGGAGGUUUUAGGGCUGAUUUGAGACGACUUUUCCACGGCAGCCCGACCACAUACCUCCACGGUUUUUCCUCUAGAUCGCGUUUCUGCGGAGCUCGGGCGAAGCCGUGCUGAGACAAGGUCAUCACCAACCUCCGGAGCGCCGUCACGCUGCCGGAGAACUCUUCUACCUCUCCGUCUCUCUUGCUGGAUCAAGAAGGCCGAGAUCAUCGUCGAGCUGUACGUGUGCUGAACGCGGAGGUGCCGUCCGUUCGGUACUAGAUCGUGGGACUGAUCGCGGGAUUGUUCGCGGGGCGGAUCGAGGGACGUGAGGACGUUCCACUACAUCAACCGCGUUCCCUAACGCUUCUGCUGUACGAUCUACAAGGGUACGUAGAUCACUCAUCCCCUCUCGUAGAUGGACAUCACCAUGAUAGGUCUUCGUGCGCGUAGGAAAUUUUUUGUUUCCCAUGCGACGUUCCCCAACAGUGGCAUCAUGAGCUAGGUUCAUGCGUAGAUGUCUUCUCGAGUAGAACACAAAAGUUUUUGUGGGCGGUGAUGUGCGUUUUGCUGCCCUCCUUAGUCUUUUCUUGAUUCCGCGGUAUUGUUGGAUUGAAGCGGCUUGGACCGACAUUACUCGUACGCUUACGAGAGACUGGUUUCAUCGUUACGAGUAACCCCCUUUGCUCAAAGAUGAUUGGCAAGUGUCGGUUUCUCCAACUUUAGUUGAAUCGGAUUUGACCGAGGAGGUCCUUGGAUGAGGUUAAAUAGCAACUCAUAUAUCUCCGUUGUGGUGUUUGCGUAAGUAAGAUGCGAUCCUACUAGAUACCCUUGGUCACCACGUAAAACAUGCAACAACAAAAUUAGAGGACGUCUAACUUGUUUUUGCAGGGUAUGAUUGUGAUGUGAUAUGGCCAACGAUGUGAUGUGAUAUAUUGGAUGUAUGAGAUGAUCAUGUUGUAAUAGAAAUAUCGACUUGCACGUCGAUGGUACGGCAACCGGCAGGAGCCAUAGGGUUGUCUUUAUACUAACAUAUGUGCUUGCAGAUGCGUUUACUAUUUUACUAGGAUGUAGCUUUAGUAGUGAUAGCAUAAGUAGCACGACAACCACGAUGGCAACACGUUGAUGGAUGAUCAUGGUGUGGCGCCGGUGACAAGAAGAUCGUGCCGGUGCUUUGGUGAUGGAGAUCAAGAAGCACGUGAUGAUGGCCAUAUCAUGUCACUUAUGAAUUGCAUGUGAUGUUAAUCCUUUUAUGCACCUUAUUUUGCUUAGAACGACGGUAGCAUUAUGAGGUGAUCUCUCACUAAAAUUUCAAGACGAAAUUGUGUUCUCCCCGACUGUGCACCGUUGCUACAGUUCGUCGUUUCGAGACACCACGUGAUGAUCGGGUGUGAUAGACUCAACGUUCACAUACAACGGGUGCAAAACAGUUGCGCACGCGGAACACUCGGGUUAAGCUUGACGAGCCUAGCAUGUGCAGACAUGGCCUCGGAACACAUGAGACCGAAAGGUCGAUCAUGAAUCAUAUAGUUGAUAUGAUUAGCAUAGGGAUGCUUACCACUGAAACUAUACUCAACUCACGUGAUGAUCGGACUUGGGAUAGUGUAAGUGGAUCAUGAACCACUCAAAUGACUAGAGAGAUGUACUUUUUGAGUGGGAGUUUGGCAUAUAAUUUGAUUAAGUUGAACUCUAAUUAUCUUGAACAUAGUCUAAGUCCACUUUGAAUAGAUUUGUGUUGUAGAUCAUGGCUCACGCAAGUGUCAUCCUGAAUUUUAAUACGUUCCUAGAGAUAGCUAAGUUGAAAGAUGAUGGAAGCAACUUUGUAGACUGGGCUCGUAAUCUUAAGCUAAUCUUACAAGCUGGAAAGAAGGAUUAUGUCCUUAAUGCUGCGCUAGGAGAUGAACCACCCGCUACGGCUGAUCAGGAUGUUAAGAACGCUUGGUUAGCGCGUAAGGAGGACUACUCAAUAGUUCAAUGUGCAGUCUUGUAUGGCUUAGAACCGGGACUUCAACGUCGCUUUGAGCGUCAUGGAGCAUUUGAGAUGUUCCAGGAGUUGAAGUUUAUCUUUCAGAAGAACGCCCGGAUCGAGAGGUAUGAGACCUCCGAUAAAUUCUAUGCUUGCAAGAUGGAGGAAAACUCGUCUGUCAGUGAACAUGUGCUCAAAAUGUCUGGGUACUCAAACCGUCUAGCCGAACUGGGGAUUGAACUCCCGCAAGAAGCUAUCACUGACAGAAUCCUUCAAUCACUGCCGCCAAGCUACAAAGGCUUUGUGUUGAACUACAACAUGCAAGGGAUGAACAAGUCUCCCGGCGAGUUGUUUGCGAUGCUGAAAGUCGCAGAGUCUGAACUCCGUAAAGAGCAUCAAGUGUUGAUGGUGAGAAAGACCACUAGUUUCAAGAGAAACGGCAAAGGCAAGAAGGGCAAUUCGAAGAAGAGCGGCAAGCCCGUUGCCAAUCCGCCGAAGAAACCCAAGGCUGGACCUAAGCCUGAAACAGAGUGCUUCUAUUGCAAGGGUAUGGGUCACUGGAAGCGCAAUUGCCCCAAGUAUCUGGCAGAUAAGAAGGCGGGCAAAGAGAAAUCAGGUAUAUUUGAUAUACAUGUUAUUGAUGUGUACUUAACCGGCUCUCGUAGUAGUGCCUGGGUAUUUGAUACCGGUUCUGUUGCUCACAUUUGCAACUCGAAGCAGGAACUGCGGAAUAGACGAAGGCUGGCGAAAGACGAAGUGACGAUGCGCGUAGGAAACGGUUCCAAGGUUGAUGCAAUCGCCGUCGGCACAGUGUCACUUCAGCUACCAUCGGGAUUAGUUAUGAACUUAAAUCAUUGUUAUUUAGUGCCUGCGUUGAGCAUGAACAUUAUAUCUGGAUCUUGUUUAUUGCGAGACGGUUACUCUUUUAAGCCUGAGAAUAAUGGUUGUUCUAUUUCUAUGAGUAACAUCUUUUAUGGUCAUGCACCGAAUGUGAGAGGAUUGUUCAUAUUGAAUCUUGAUGGCGACACGCAUAUACAUAACAUUGAGACCAAAAGAGUUAGAGUAAACAAUGAUAGCGCCAUAUUUUUGUGGCACUGCCGCUUGGGUCAUAUUGGUGUAAAGCGCAUGAAGAAACUCCAUGCUGAUGGACUUUUGGAGUCACUUGACUUUGAUUCACUUGACACGUGCGAACCAUGCCUCAUGGGCAAGAUGACUAAGACUCCGUUCUCCGGAACAAUGGAGCGUGCAAGUGACUUGUUGGAAAUCAUACAUACCGAUGUGUGUGGUCCGAUGAGCGUGGAGGCACGCGGCGGAUAUCGUUAUUUUCUCACCUUCACUAACGAUUUAAGUAGAUAUGGUUAUGUCUACUUGAUGAAGCACAAGUCUGAAUCAUUUGAAAAGUUCAAGCAAUUUCAGAGUGAAGUGGAAAAUCAUCGUAACAAGAAGAUCAAGUUCCUGCGGUCUGAUCGUGGGGGUGAAUAUCUGAGUUUCGAGUUUGGUACUCACUUAAAACAAUGUGGAAUUGUUUCGCAGUUAACACCGCCUGGAACACCACAGCGUAAUGGUGUGUCCGAACGUCGUAAUCGUACUUUGUUAGAAAUGGUGCGAUCUAUGAUGUCUCUUACUGAUUUGCCGUUAUCGUUUUGGGGUUAUGCAUUGGAAACAGCUGCAUUCACUUUAAAUAGGGCACCAUCGAAAUCCAUUGGGACGACACCAUAUGAACUGUGGUAUGGCAAAAGGCCAAAGUUGUCGUUUCUUAAAGUUUGGGGAUGUGAUGCUUACGUCAAAAAGCUUCAGCCUGAAAAGCUGGAAUCCAAAGCGGAAAAGUGCGUCUUCAUAGGUUACCCAAAAGAGACAGUUGGGUACACCUUCUAUCUCAAAUCCGAGGGCAAAGUGUUUGUUGCUAAGAACGGAACUUUUCUCGAGAAGGAGUUUCUCUCGAGAGAAUUGAGUGGGAGGAAGAUAGAACUUGACGAGGUUGUCGAACCUCUCAUCCCUCUGGAUGGUGGCGCAGGGCAAGGGGAAACCUCUGUCGUUGCGACGCCGGUUGAGGAGGAAGUUAAUGAUGAUGAUCAUGAAACUCCAGUUCAAGUUUCUGUUGAACCACGCAGGUCGACGAGAUCACGCGCUGCUCCAGAGUGGUACGGUAAUCCCGUCUUAUCAAUCAUGUUGUUAGACAACAAUGAACCUGCAAAUUAUGAAGAAGCAAUGGUGGGCCCAGAUUCCAACAAAUGGCUAGAAGCCAUGAAAUCCGAGAUAGGAUCCAUGUAUGAGAACAAAGUGUGGACUUUGGAGAUACUACCUGAGGGCCGCAAGGCUAUUCAGAACAAAUGGAUUUUUAAGAAGAAGACGGACGCUGACGGUAAUGUGACCGUUUAUAAAGCUCGACUUGUGGCAAAGGGUUUUUCACAAGUUCCAGGAGUUGACUACGAUGAGACUUUCUCACCCGUAGCGAUGCUUAAGUCCGUCAGAAUCAUGUUAGCAAUAGCUGCAUUUUUCGAUUAUGAAAUCUGGCAGAUGGAUGUCAAAACGGCGUUCCUUAAUGGUUUCCUUAAGGAAGAGUUGUAUAUGAUGCAACCCGAAGGUUUUGUCGAUCCUAAGAAUGCUGACAAGGUGUGCAAGCUCCAGCGAUCCAUUUAUGGACUGGUGCAAGCAUCUCGGAGUUGGAACAAACGCUUUGAUGAGGUGAUCAAAGCAUUUGGGUUUAUACAAGUGGUUGGAGAAUCUUGUAUUUACAAGAAAGUGAGUGGGAGCUCUGUGGCGUUUCUAAUAUUAUAUGUGGAUGACAUAUUACUGAUUGGAAACAACGUAGAGCUUUUGGAGAGCAUAAAAGGUUACUUGAAUAAAAGUUUCUCUAUGAAGGACCUAGGAGAAGCUGCUUACAUACUAGGCAUUAAGAUCUAUAGGGAUAGAUCAAAACGCCUGAUAGGACUUUCACAAAGCACAUACCUUGAUAAAGUUUUGAAGAAGUUCAAAAUGGAACAGUCCAAGAAAGGGUUCUUGCCAGUGUUACAAGGUACGAGAUUGAGUAAGACUCAGUGCCCAGCAACUGAUGAAGAUAGAGAGCAUAUGCGCUCCGUCCCCUAUGCUUCAGCCAUAGGCUCUAUCAUGUAUGCAAUGCUGUGCACUAGACCGGAUGUUAGCCUAGCCAUAAGUAUGGCAGGUAGGUUCCAGAGUAAUCCAGGAGUGGAUCACUGGACGGCGGUCAAGAAUAUCCUAAAGUACCUGAAAAGGACUAAGGAGAUGUUUCUUGUGUAUGGAGGUGAUGAGGAGCUCGCCGUAAAAGGUUACGUCGAUGCAAGCUUUGACACAGAUCCGGACGACUCUAAGUCGCAAACCGGAUACGUAUUUAUUCUUAAUGGGGGUGCAGUAAGCUGGUGCAGUUCCAAGCAAAGCGUCGUAGCAGAUUCUACAUGUGAAGCUGAGUACAUGGCUGCCUUGGAGGCGGCUAAGGAGGGUGUCUGGAUGAAGCAGUUCAUGACGGAUCUUGGAGUGGUGCCAAGUGCACUGGAUCCAAUAACCUUGUUCUGUGACAACACUGGUGCCAUUGCCUUAGCAAAGGAACCAAGGUUUCACAAGAAGACCAGACACAUCAAACGACGCUUCAACCUCAUCCGCGACUACGUCGAGGAGGAGGACGUAAAUAUAUGCAAAGUGCACACGGAUCUGAAUGUAGCAGACCCGCUGACUAAACCUCUUCCACGGUCAAAACAUGAUCGACACCAGAACUGUAUGGGUGUUAGAUUUAUUACAAUGUAAUUCACAUGGUGAUGUGAGGGCUAGAUUAUUGACUCUAGUGCAAGUGGGAGACUGUUGGAAUUAUGCCCUAGAGGCAAUAAUAAAUGUAUAGUUAUUAUUAUAAUUCCUGUAUCAAGAUAAUAGUUUAUUAUCCAUGCUAUAAUUGUAUUGAAUGAAGACUCAUUUACAUGUGUGGAUACAUAGACAAAACACCGUCCCUAGCAUGCCUCUAGUUGGCUAGCCAGUUGAUCGAUGAUAGUCAGUGUCUUCUGAUUAUGAACAAGGUGUUGUUGCUUGAUAACUGGAUCACGUCAUUGGGAGAAUCACGUGAUGGACUAGACCCAAACUAAUAGACGUAGCAUGUUGAUCGUGUCAUUUUGUUGCUACUGUUUUCUGCGUGUCAAGUAUUUGUUCCUAUGACCAUGAGAUCAUAUAACUCACGGACACCGGAGGAAUGCUUUGUGUGUAUCAAACGUCGCAACGUAACUGGGUGACUAUAAAGAUGCUCUACAGGUAUCUCCGAAGGUGUUAGUUGAGUUAGUAUGGAUCAAGACUGGGAUUUGUCACUCCGUGUGACGGAGAGGUAUCUCGGGGCCCACUCGGUAAUACAACAUCACACACAAGCCUUGCAAGCAAUGUAACUUAGUGUAAGUUGCGGGAUCUUGUAUUACGGAACGAGUAAAGAGACUUGCCGGUAAACGAGAUUGAAAUAGGUAUGCGGAUACUGACGAUCGAAUCUCGGGCAAGUAACAUACCGAAGGACAAAGGGAAUGACAUACGGGAUUAUACGAAUCCUUGGCACUGAGGUUCAAACGAUAAGAUCUUCGUAGAAUAUGUAGGAUCCAAUAUGGGCAUCCAGGUCCCGCUAUUGGAUAUUGACCGAGGAGUCUCUCGGGUCAUGUCUACAUAGUUCUCGAACCCGCAGGGUCUGCACACUUAAGGUUCGACGUUGUUUUAUGCGUAUUUGAGUUAUAUGGUUGGUUACCGAAUGUUGUUCGGAGUCCCGGAUGAGAUCACGGACGUCACGAGGGUUUCCGGAAUGGUCCGGAAACGAAGAUUGAUAUAUAGGAUGACCUCAUUUGAUUACCGGAAGGUUUUCGGAGUUACCGGGAAUGUACCGGAAAUGACGAAUGGGUUCCGGGAGUUCACCGAGGGGGGGGGGCAACCCACCCCGGGGAAGCCCAUAGGCUUUGGGGAGACACACCAGCCCUUAGUGGGCUGGUGGGACAGCCCCAAAGGGGCCUAUGCGCCAAGAGAAUAAAAUCGAAGGAAAGAAAAAAAAAGGAGGGAAGAAGUGGGAAGGGAGGGGGACUCCUCCCACCAAACCAAGUCCAACUCGGUUUGGGGGGGGAGUCCUCACCCCCUUGGCUCGGCCGACCCCUUGGGAGUCCCUUGGACCCCAAGGCAAGGUCCCCCCUCCCUCCUCCUAUAUAUAUGGGGCUUUUAGGGCAGAUUUGAGACGACUUUCUCACGGCUGCCCGACCACAUACCUCCAUAGUUUUUCCUCUAGAUCGCGUUUCUGCGGAGCUCGGGCGGAGCCCUGCUGAGACGAGAUCAUCACCAACCUCCGGAGCGCCGUCACGCUGCCGGAGAACUCUUCUACCUCUCCGUCUCUCUUGCUGGAUCGAGAAGGCCGAGAUCAUCGUCGAGCUGUACGUGUGCUGAACGCGGAGGUGCCGUCCGUUCGGUACUAGAUCGUGGGACUGAUCGCGGGAUUGUUCGCGGGGCGGAUUGAGGGACGUGAGGACGUUCCACUACAUCAACCGCGUUCUCUAAACGCUUCUGCUGUACGAUCUACAAGGGUACGUAGAUCACUCAUCCCCUCUCGUAGAUGGACAUCACCAUGAUAGGUCUUCUUGCGCAUAGGAAAUUUUUUGUUUCCCAUGCGACGUUCCCCAACAAUGGGAACUGCUUAUGAAGGCCUAAGAGCAGAGAGGAACCAAUAUGCUGGUGAACUGGACGCUGCAAUGCUUGCUAUGGCUGGUAUGAAGGACGCUCUGGAAGUGCGAGAAAAGUCCUUGAAAGAGGCUCUGGAGACGAACAGGGUGUUGACGACGGAGAUGCAGAGGAUGGGGAAACAGAGGACCGAAUUGCACAAUCAGAUGGGCGUCUUGAACAAACGAUGCAUAGCUCAAGAGAAGUAUGUCACCGACUGGGCUGCGCAAAUAAUGACCGGUCUGGCUGGUAAGUCUGAUGAUUUGUCGAGUGGUUGUAUCGUGUGACGAACACUCGGUUUUUACUGUCUAUUUGCUCGUUUGUUGCAGAUUUUUGUGGUGACGCCGAAGCUGAAGCGGCGGCCAUGGAACGAUCCAUGAAGGACAAUGUGCCACUCAGCGAGGACGCCAACCGGAAUCUACUCCGGGCUCAUAUCCGCGUAGGCAAAGUAGGUCCGUUCAUCAACCGACCGAGAGAAGUCUUCGGCCGCAUUGAGAAGGAGCUUUGGCCGGAAGACGAGUCGCGGGAGAAGAUGGAGACUCUGUUGGGGCGACUGGGGGAGAUUCCGGCCCGAGUGCAAUCGUGGAAGAAAUCGGGAGCGCGUUGCGGUGCUGAUGUGGCGCUGUCCUUGGUCCGAGUUCAUUGCAAGGAAGUGCGGGAAGAUAAGCUGAAAGCCUUGAAGGUCGCCAACAUGAAGAAGCUUCAAUUCGAAGACUUCAUGGAGACAUUCCUGGAGACUGCUACCCGCAUUGCUGAUGGAAUCGACCUGGAUACCUUUGUGGAGCCCUCCAGUCCUGACGCGGGCCCCGCUGACGCGUGAUCAAACUUUAUCCUCGGUAUGCCGAGUGUUUGCCUGUAAUAUACUCUGGCCACUUCUGUUGGCCGUCAUACUUUUGAAUCGGUGCGGGUAAGCUUGAUCCGCACCGAGUCAAUUAUUGUUUCUAGACUGUUGGAGUCGCAAUGGAAACAUUUAGUCUUUUGCUUGAAUGCUGUUUGGAGUUCAACACUUAGUGUGUACUCGGAGAAUAUUAAGACUUAGGUGAUUCGUGAUCACAACUAAGCUCCCGAGUGUGACGUAUAAUGCACACUCGGAGGAGGUUAGUACUUCGAUGAUUCUUGAUCAUAACUAAGUCUCCGAGUGCAACGUAUAGUGCACACUCGGAGGAAGGUAUUCCUUAGGCGAUUCGGGAUCGCAGCUAAGUCUCCGAGUGCAACGUAUAGUACACACUCGGAGGAGGUUAGUACUUAUGUGAUUCUUGAUCACAACUAAGUCCCCGAGUGCGACGUAUAGUCCACACUCGAAGGAGCUUAGGUGAUUCUUGAUCACAGCUAAGUCUCCGAGUGCGACGUGAAGUGCACACUCGGAGGAAAUUAUUACUUAGGCGAUGCGGGAUCGCAGCUAAGUCCCCGAGUGUGACGUAUAGUGCACACUCGAAGGAAAUUAUUACUUAGGCGAUUCGGGAUCGCAGCUAAGUCCCCGAGUGUGACGUAUAGUGCACACUCGAAGGAAGUUAGUACUUAGACGAUUCGGGAUCGCAGCUAAGUCCCCGAGUGUGACGUAUAGUGCACACUCGAAGGAAGUUAGUACUUAGGCGAUGCGGGAUCGCAGCUAAGUACCCGAGUGUGACGUAUAGUGUACACUCGAAGGAAGUUAGUACUUAGGCGAUUCGGGAUCGCGGCUAAGUCCCCGAGUGUGACGUAUAGUGCACACUCGAAGGAAGUUAGUACUUAGGCGAUGCGGGAUCGCAGCUAAGUUUUUUUUUUAUGUGUGUGUGACCGUAGUCUGCGACCACGGAAGAACUCUGAAUCUGCAAAAGAAACUGAAUCUGCUGUAUAUUAUUUCGCCAAAACUUGUUCGUUACACUGCUUCAGUCGGCGAUCACGUAUAAAAACGCUUGAGGAGGUAUCCGUUCCACGCGCGUGGCUCGUCGGUCUCCUUAUGAAUGUUGUAGAGUCUGUAUGCCCCGUUGUUCAGCACCUUUGAAAUGAUGAAAGGCCCUUCCCAGGCCGGAGCCAACUUGUGUGGUCUUUGCUGAUCCACUCGGAGCACCAAAUCGCCAGCUUGGAACGUGCGGCUCCUGACAUGUCGUGCAUGAAAACGUUGCAGAUCUUGCUGAUAAAUUGUUGAGCGAGUAAGUGCCAUCACACGCUCCUCCUCUAGAAGAUCGACUCCAUAUUGCCUUGCUUGUUCUGCUUCGGCUUCGGAGAAGAGUUCGACUCGCGGGGCAUUGUGAAGCAGGUCACUCGGAAGGACCGCUUCUGCUCCAUAGACGAGGAAGAACGGUGAUCGUCCUGUUGAUCUGUUCGGAGUGGUGCGGAGUCCCCAAAGUACUGAAGGUAACUCGGUUACCCAUGCACUAGCAGCAUGUCCUACCUCUCGCAAGAGUCGAGGUUUCAAACCUUGAAGGAUAAGUCCAUUUGCACGCUCAGCUUGUCCAUUGGAUUGCGGAUGUGCUACGGAAGCAAAAUCCACUCGGACACCUUGACUCGCACAGAACCCUUUGAAUCUGUCUGAGUCGAAGUUUGUUCCAUUGUCCGUGAUUAUGCUGUGAGGCACUCCGAAUCUGGAGAUGAUGUCUCUGACAAACUUCACGGCCGUGGAGGCGUCGAGUUUCUUGAUGGGCUUGGCUUCUAUCCAUUUUGUAAACUUGUCGACUGCCACCAACAGAUGUGUGUAGCCUCCUUGGCCUGUCUUGAAUGGUCCGACUGUGUCUAAUCCCCAAACUGCAAAUGGCCACACAAGUGGGAUUGUCUUUAGUGCAGAUGUUGGCUUGUGGGACUUGUUGGAGUAGAACUGACAGCCCUCGGAGUAUGUUGUCAUAGUGGGGUUCCUUACGUCCCACUCUUUCAUCACUUGGGUGACCACCAAGUCUGAAUCGCCAUAGACCAUCAGGCGACGGACGCCGAGUGAGAUGGCCAUGCGCAAUCCGUAGAGAAGAGCUUCAUACUCUGCCUCAUUGUUAGAGGAAUCAAAGUGUAUCUGAAGCACAUACUUGAGCUUGUCACCCUUUGGUGAUACGAUCACAACACCAUCGCCGGAUCCAUUCAACAUCUUAGACCCAUCGAAGAACAUUGUCCAAUGAGCCGAGUAGAUGUGAGUCGGUUGCUGUUGUUCUACCCAUUCCGCUAUAAAGUCAGCCAGGGCUUGAGACUUAAUAGCUUUCUUGGCCUCGAACUUGAUGUCGCAGUACAUCAUCUCCAUCACCCACUUUGCCACUCGGCCUGAUGCGUCCCGAUUAUGGAGAAUUUCCGACAAUGGAGCAUCAGAAACGACAGAUACCGAGUGGUCUUGGAAAUAAUGAGCCACCUUCUUUGCAGUCAUAUAGAUCCCAUAGAUAAGCUUUUGAUAAUGGGGAUACCUCUGCUUGGAAGGUGUCAGGACUUCGGAGACGUAGUACACUGGCCGCUGAACUUUGUAUGCUUUGCCUUCUUCUUCUCGCUCGACUGUAAGAACAGUACUGACGACUUGAUUUGUAGCCACGAUAUAUAGAAGAAGGGGAUCUUUACUGAGCGGAGCAAUAAGAACCGGCUGGGUGGAAAGUAGGACUUUGAGGUCGUCGAAUGCGACUUGGGCUUCGUCUGUCCACUCGAAGGUAUCUGAUUUCUUCAUGAGUCGGUACAGAGGAAGUGCUUUUUCACCGAGUCGACUGAUGAACCUGCUCAAAGCUGCUAAGCAACCUGUGAGUCGUUGAACAUCGUGUAUUCUAACCGGCCUCUCCAUUCGGAUGAUGGUCCCGAUCUUUUCGGGGUUAACAUCGAUCCCUUCUUCGGAAACGAAGAAACCGAGUAACUUUCCGCUGGGAACACCGAAUGAACAUUUGGCUGGGUUUAGCUUGAUAUCGUACCUACGAAGGUUGGAGAAUGUUUCUGCCAAGUCAGUCAGCAGGUCGGAACCUUUGCGUGACUUGACUACGAUAUCAUCCAUGUAUGCCUCCACAUUGCGACCGAUCUGGUCGAGGAGACAUUUUUGGAUCAUGCGCAUAAAGGUAGCUCCUGCAUUCUUCAGACCGAAAGGCAUAGUGAUGUAGCAGAAGCACCCAAACGGGGUGAUGAAAGCUGUUUUCAACUCAUCGGGACCAUACAGACGGAUCUGAUGAUAACCCGAGUAGGCAUCAAGAAAUGACAAACGCUCGCACCCCGCAGUCGAAUCGACAAUUUGAUCUAUGCGGGGGAGCGGAAAAUGGUCUUUCGGGCAGACCUUAUUGAGGUGCUUGAAGUCAAUGCACAUUCGGAGUGACUUGUCCUUCUUGGGCACCAUGACUACAUUGGCGAGCCACUCGGAGUGGUGAACCUCGCGAAUGAAUUUGGCAGCUAGCAACUUAGCCACCUCUUCUCCGAUUGCCUUCCUCUUGUGCGUGGCGGACCGGCGCAAGCGCUCUCGGAUGGGCCGAGCAGCGGGAUCCACAUGCAGUCGGUGCUCAUCCAACUCCCUAGGUACACCCGGCAUGUCAGAUGGCUUCCAUGCGAAGAUGUCCCAGUUCUCACGGAGGAAUUGGGUGAGCUCAGCUUCCUAUUUAGGAUCCAGGGUGGUGGAGAUGUUCGUUGGGGCGGCAGACUCGUCCGUCGGGUGGAUGCUGAUCUUCUUAGUCUCUCCCGCCGACUGGAACGCGGACUCAGAAGCUGGCUUCUUUGAGCGCAUUAAGUCGGCAGGGUCGACUGUCUUCUUGUACUCUUCGAGCUCGAGUACAGCCAUCUGCUGGUCUGCGAUCCUUGAUCCCUCUUGCAGACACUCCUCGGCUCGCUGGCGGUUGCCGGUGAUGGUGAUAACGCCUUUUGGACCGGGCAUUUUCAACUUCAAGUACACAUAGCACGGGCGUGCCAUGAAACUCACGUAUGCUGGGCGGCCCAGAAUUGCAUGGUAAGCGCUCUGGAAAUCCACCACCUCAAACGUGAGCUUCUCCUUGCGGAAGUUCUUGUCAGAGCCAAAGAUGAUUUCCAAUGCGAUCUGGGCGAGUGAUUUGGCCUUCCGUCCCGGGACGACUCCGUGGAACUGCAUAUUGCUCUCGCUGAGUCUGGACAUCGGAAUGCCCAUCCCCUUGAGAGUGUCGGCGUACAUAAUAUUCAGUCCGCUGCCGCCGUCCAUGAGGACUUUGCGCAGUCGGACUCCUUCUACCACCGGGUCGACGACCAGAGCCUGCCUUCCUGGGGUGGGGACAUGUGUUGGAUGAUCCGACUGGUCGAAGGUGAUCGCAGUCUGAGACCAUUUGAGAAACUUGGGGGCAGUCGGAACGGCCAUGUUGACUUCUCUGUUCACCAACUUCAAUCGACUCUUGCUUUCGACGUCAGCAAAAAUCAUGAGGGUUGCAUGGACUUGGGGGAACGGAUCCUCCUUGUCCUCCUCAUCUUGCUCGGGAUUCUUCUCACUCGGCUGCCCUUCGCUGAACCCCUGGAUCAGGAGACGGCAUUGCCGAGUGGUGUGCUUCGCGUAUAUGGGGUUGCCUUCCUCGUCCAUCUUCGUGUGGAUUGGACAAGGCUGGUCCAGGAUGGGAUUGUUGAAAGGUUUCUUCUUGGGGGUGAACUGCGCUUUCCCUUUGCCCUUGAACUUGGCGCUGGUUACAGCUGCAGCUUCUGCUUGCGGUGUGGGCGGAACCUUUUGUUUCUGCUUCCGAGUGUUACCUCCGUCGGCAUCGCCGACUGUCUUGUGUUUGCCGCUUCGGAUACGGUCCUCUUCUUUGCCAUUUGCGUAGCGAGUUGCUAUCUCCAUCAUCUUUCUCAUGGAGAUGUCGCCCGUUCGGCCGAACUUCAAGUACAGUUCUGUGUACCGCACGCCUGCCUUGAAGGCGCAGACUGCUUGAUGCUCGGUGACGUUCUCCACCGUGUGGUAAAGAGUCGUCCAUCGCUGGAUGAAGUCGCGCAAGGGCUCAUUCGGCUUCUGGACACAGUGCUGAAGCUCCACAAGACCUGCAGGGCGCUUGCACGUCCCUUCGAAGGUUCUGAUGAACACUCGGGCUAGAUCUGCCCAACUGUAAAUGUUUGAGGGGGCCAACUGGUUCAGCCAAGCUCGGGCCGAGCCGUCGAGCAUCAGAGGGAGGUGCUUCAUAGCGACAUGGUCGUCUCCUCCUCCGAUCUGGAAUGCCACUCGGUAGUCGUCUAGCCAUAUUUCGGGCUUGGACUCUCCUGAGAAUUUACCGAUUCCCGCUGCCAAUCGGAAGUUGGGCGGGAUAUCAGCCGAGCGGAUGGCUCGACUAAAACACUCGGGGCCGGACACGAUGGCCCUGCUUCCACUCGGACGGUCCAUAUCGCGGCCAUCGCGGUGGGCUCGACCCCUGUCGACUCUUCGCUGGGCGAUCCGCCCUCUCGCGUCGGGUCUUGGGUCGUAAGUGUCGCCGACCGAAUGCCGAUCAUCAUGAUGCCGGGACCCAUAGGGCCCACCCCGCGGAGGGGUGCGUGAGCGACGGCGAUACUGAUGAGAUCCAGGGCUGUGAACCGAUCGAUGCGUGUUUGCAUGGACGGAACUAUUGUGGAUCCGAUUGUGUGACUCGGAGACUGCCGAAUUCUGCUGCUGCGUCGUGCGCAACAGAGCUCGGAUUUGCUCGAUUCCCCUUCCUGCUUCUGAAUCAGUCGGCUGGAGGGAAUCGGCAGUCUGGGCAACCGCGGCCAGGUUGAGGAGAGGUGUGCGGAACAACUCCACGUUGCUCCGCCGAGUGUAUCGACUGGCAGAACGACGAGGCGGACGGCGCGCACCGGAUGCUUCGUCAAUUUCACCUCGGUCGGCUCGACGAGGAUCUUCAUGGGAGUUGGCCAUGUGUACUUCUGCUGCAGGCCCACGACCCACGUACUCGGAAGGGAGCUCAGUCGGAACCGAGCCCGAGCACUGGGAGCGUGGGGCGACUACAACAGACUCCAAAACUGCCACCUGAGAGGACGCGAUCUGGCGCGCUCGGGCAUGUUGCACCCAACGUUGGAGACGUGGACUGCGGGACCGCUUACUGCGGCGCGUGACGAAGGUGCAAGCCGGCAAUGGAGCCGAUUGUUGAAGAAGAAGAACGCCGCGAGCGCCGGCACGGAAGUGCGUGGCCCCGCGACGGGGAAGCGCCUCGACGUCGAGAGGUGCCUCCCGAAGCCACGCCGAAUCGUCGACGACGAAGGAGAGAGGACCGAAGAGGAUCUGGUGACCCAUGCUCGAAUCUCCACCGGACGACAUGACGAAAGGAAGUAGUCGCAAACUCGCCGGAAGUCGCUUAGACGCCUGCCCCACGGAGGGCGCCAACUGUCGUGGGUAUAAGCCUGACAGUAGAUGUGUAGGGUACGAAUGAGAUGGGCAGAGUCCUAGCUACGGCGAGGUUGUAUGAGUUCAGGCCCCUCUACGGUGGAGGUAAUAGCUGUCGUGGGUAUAAGCCUGACAGUAGAUGUGUAGGGUACGAAUGAGAUGGGCAGAGUCCUAGCUACGGUGAGGUUGUAUGAGUUCAGGCCCCUCUACGGUGGAGGUAAUAGCCCUACGUCUCAGUGCUCUCGGAGCUUGUUACCGAGUAUAAUAUGGAGUACAAUGUUUUCUAACCCUUUUACAAGUGGGGGAGGGCGGCUUAUAUAGAGUGCGCUGCCCUCCACAACGGUUCUGAUUCAAGGGUGGAGUAGUGGCGAUUGAAUGCAUGCGUUACAGGUAACGUAUGCUAUAAAUGCUAGUAAAUGCACCCGGAAACGUACGGCAGUUUCCCUCCAGAGAGGUCACGACGCACCGAGUGUAUCCAGUCGGUAGGCCCGGUGUCCUUCGAGUGUUAGUCUUCGACUGGAUGAUUCNGCGAUUGAAUGCAUGCGUUACAGGUAACGUAUGCUAUAAAUGCUAGUAAAUGCACCCGGAAACGUACGGCAGUUUCCCUCCAGAGAGGUCACGACGCACCGAGUGUAUCCAGUCGGUAGGCCCGGUGUCCUUCGAGUGUUAGUCUUCGACUGGAUGAUUCAGGGCCUGUUACCGACUGGGUGAUGGGGGCACCUUACUUCAGUCGGGCAUACUUAAGGUCCUGUCCCUUGUGUGGGGUAGUCCUGGGUAGGACCUGUAGGACAGGCCUAUGACCCUACCCUAGGACUAUGACCCCAUCAGACAGUGUUUUGUCUAUGUAUCCACACAAGUAUUGUGUUUCCAAUCAAUACAAUUAUAGCAUGGAUAAUAAACGAUUAUCAUGAACAAAGAAAUAUAAUAAUAACUAAUUAUUAUUGCCUCUAGGGCAUAUUUCAAACAGAUAGGGCAAAGAUGGUAUCGAUUAUGUGGGCAAUCUGGACUUCACAUAACAAUCUCACUCAUCAUCGGGGUCCUCUUAGUCCGGUUCAGUCGAUGAUCAUGACAAGAGAUGCUCUGGCUUCGUUAGACAUUCGACGAGAUCAUGCACGGAUUCUUCCUGGACACGGGUGGCGACCACCGGAGCAGGAUUGUGUCAAGAUCAACACGGAUGGGAGUGUUGCUAGACACUUUUGCAGAGGAGGGGGAGGUGGGGUAGCUCGAUCCCACAAUACUUUUCUUGCUGCAUGGUGUAAACCGUUUGAUGGUGUGACUGAUCCUUUGGUAGCCGAGGCGAUGGCCCUGAGAGAGGGAGUUCUUUUUGCUCGGUUGAGGGGUUUCUCGAAGGUCAUAAUGGAAACAGAUAGCCUGGACUUAGUUCAGCUAUGGAACUUGCGUCACAAUUCUCGUUCAGUAGUGGCGCCUAUCUUAGAUGAGAUGGGGGAGCUCGUAGAUGUUUUUACUUCUUUCUGCAUUCAGCAUUGUAAUAGGGAGGCCAAUAAUCAUGUUCAUUUGUGUGCUAAGCAAGCAAGCACACAAGAGGUGGCAGAAUGUUGGAUGGAUUCCAAACCUAGCUUUCUUGUAACGUCCCUUUUGACAGACUUUGCCGGGGCUUUUGCUGAAUAAAUCCCAUAUCUCUACUAAAAAAAACCCUUUUGCUACAGUAGCUCAUGAGCUGUAUUCUUUUUUCUGUUGACUUGUUGGGCAUUGCACUACCACCUCUUAAUCUGAUGCAUCUCAAAGGUGGAUUUUUCAUUAUACGCGAUACAAAAUGUUGACAUAGGCUGUACUUGCCAGUUUAACUAUGACGAGUUGUCAAUUUUACUUGUGAUUGUCAAAUAUAAUUUGUUGUGAUUUGCCAGUUUAAUUAUCUCAAGUUGUCUUAUUUACACGUGAUUGCCAGAAACAAUUUGUUGUGGUUGCCGGUUUCAAAUAUGCAACAGUUCAUUUUUACACGGAAUUGCCGAAAUAAUUUCUUUGUGGUAGUUGUAGAUAUGCAAGAGUUCACUUUUACACGGAAUCGCCGAAAUAAUUUUUUUGUGGUUGCCAGUUUUAAAUAUGCGAGAGUUCAUUUCUACACAGAAUGGCAAAAAUAAUUUCUUUGUGGUUGCCAGUUAAUUAUGUAGAGUUGACAUAUUUACAUGCAAUUACGAAAAUAUGGCAAUGAAGUUAUUUUUAUCCGGCAAGUUAGUGUUUACAAAUAUGACAAAUAAGUGUAGCAAAUGUGACAAGUAUGACUAGAUUUUUUUUCUCGAAACAUAUCGAUACGGGAUCUAGUUUCGAAGAUCUCAUUGAAACAAAAUCAACGAUGAAAAUAGAUCAUUAAUCAAAUUGACUGUUUUAAAGAUAAAACUUUCCAAAUUUCAAACAGUUAGACGAAUCUUUGAUGAUGUCAUUGUACCCAUGCAUGGUAUAGAGAGAGAGAGCGCGCGCGGAUUGGCGACAGCCACGGCAACCCUUUUUGAAGUAAGGUGAUUAGGGUGUUAAUUUUAAAUUGGGAGGUGAUUAGCUAGGCCGUCGCACGGCAAGACACGGGUGCGGCGUCGCUGCGUUGUGUUCUCCCUAAUUAAAUACUCCCUUCUGUGCUUUUUAAUUUGCAUAUAAGUUUUGUCCUAAGUCAAAAUAUCUCUACUUUGAUCAAACUUAUAAAAUAGUGUCAACAUUCACAAUGUCAAAUCAAUAUUUUUAGAUUCAUUAUGAAAUGUAGUUUUAUAGUAUAUAUAUUUGGUAUUGUAAAUGUUGAGUAUACAAAGUUUGACUUGGCAUAAAUCUAAUACGCGAAGUAAAAAGGACCGGAGUGAGUACAUUCGUUAAUCAGUAUAUCACUUAAUUAAGGAGAUGAAUGUCCUGCGUGUCGAAUUGUUUAAGCUGCUGCUAUUACCGGUGGUUAGCUUAGUUAGCUAUUAUGCUCUGUUCAAUUAUGAAUUGAUGGAAAUAAAUAUUUUGUGCUCCCAAUUUUGACGUCGACAGAUGAUCUAUCUAUAUCAUGUACUGGAUUCAUGUUUUGCUUUGAAAUACAUGAUAUGUUUGAGGUUUCUUUUCACAUAGUUUGAAUCUAUAUGUGCGUACAAAGGGCCCCUGAUUGCUGUCUUCCCCCCGGCCCCGUAAAUAUCUGGUCCAGCACUGGCUACAGUGAUCUCAUCCCAUCGCUGAACUUAGCUCUUAGCGGCUUGCGUGUCCUAAACUGUAAUCCGACUGUGCUAGUCGAUAGUGACAAGAAGAUCUUGAAAAUGAAGAUACCAUUUAAGAUUAUUUUUUUACAUGGUAUCUUCAUUGUGAAGUCAUUUUUACAAAAAUAUAACCUUGUUAUAAGUAUUUGACAAGGAAGUACGAGAUGUGUUUUUUGUCAUCAGGAUGAGACAAUUAAACAUGCGUCCUUCGAAUGCAAAUUCGCUCAAUCCAGUCAUCCAAAUUGCUUCUGACAUGUAUCCUCCGCCUAGCGUUGCUAAUAUAUUUGGCGAUGAGCUACUUGGAGUGGUUCACAGGUUUAGGAUCCUAAUUAGGAUGAGAGCGCUAGCCAUUAUUUGAUCGCUUUGAUUAUGUAAAAAUGAUAAGAUUUUUAAUAAUAAAAAUUCAUCUCUUAUGCAGAUAAUCUACAUGUGCACCAGUACUCUCCUUUUAUGGUCAGCUCCACAUCGUGUGAAGUUUCGCGGCCUAUUUACGGCAGUCUGUAUAUGCUUGGAGGAUACGGCGAAGGAUAUUUUUAUCCAAUAUGGAUGGCAGCGUGAUCUACGGAUUGGACAUCAUCUACUUACGGGUCAUACAAUUUCUUCAAGAUUAUUUGUAUUAUGUAUUUUUUUUCUUGUUGUGUUUGGACUUGUUGCGGCUGUGUGUAUUCUACAUAUGCAGAUGUCGGAUGUAAUACUUAAAAUAUUUAAGUAAUAAAACGCUUUUUAUAAAAAAAACUAUUGCACACCCAUCAUUUAGUACAUUCAAUCAGCCAUGAACCAAAGCAAGCAACCAACAAUUAAUAAUCAACGGAUCAAACAAUGUUAGUUGUUUCCGCAUUAGCCUGAUGCAUGUGCAGCGUUCACACGCACAUGACCAUGCUAAUGCUGGAAGACAUGUAUUUUGUUUCACAAGUAAUCCAUUGACCACGCAAUCCUCAACUCACUUUGAGUUAUCUGAUUGCCCCACGGAUGCAAUGACCAUGCAAAUGCUGGUCUGCUGGAAACAUGUAUUUUGUUUCACAAGUAAUCUGUUGACCACGCAAUCCUCAGCUCCCUCUAAGUUAUCUGAUUGCACCACGGAUGCAAUGACCACGCAAAUGUGGAAGAGAUGUACUACUAUUUUGUUUGACAAUUAAUCUGCUGACCACGCCAUCCUUAGCUCGCUCUGAGUUAUCUCAUUGCACCACGAAUGCAAUGACCACACAAAUGCUGGAAGACCUGCAUUUUGUUUAACAAUUAAUCUGCUAACCACGCCAUCCUCAGCUCGCUCUGAUCAUCCCGCACUUUCGCUUGGCAUGUACGAUACCUGCAUAGAUCUCGGUACAUACAACUAUAAAUAGACCUCACAUUUGUGCUCAUCUUCAUCACACCACCCUUGGUACUACUACUAGCGCCAUCCUACACGCACUCGCCAGAAUGAAGAUUUUGUUGGUCCUAUUUCUCCUUGCUCUCACUCAAAGCACUGCCUAUGCGCAAUGCGAAUUUGUUAUAUUGGUCACAACAGGAAAUAAAGAAGAUGCGGGCACCGACGCCCGUAUAUCUUUGUCGGUGAGCACCGCAAAUGGAAAGAAGCUGGUUAUCGAGAGCCUGAAACCUUGGGGCCAGAAGGGCCACAACAACUUCGAGAGAGGCCACACCGAUACAUUUGAGGGCCGCGGUAAGUGUUUACCGUCCAAACCUUGCAGGAUGUUGCUCGAGUCUAAUGGUAAAGGUAACAAACCCGGUUGGUUUGUGGACAAAGUGGAGUUCAGCCAAAUCGAGCCAAAUUUGUCCGUGAAGCAGAAGACAUUCAAGGUGAAUAGGUGGCUUGCACGCGAUGUGUCACCGGGUACCCUCUUUGUGGUUGUGGAUGACUGUCCCAAGUAACCACCCAUGUCCAUAUGGUAGUUACGAAUACAUCAUCUUACAUGCGUGAACGGUACCGUGACCGUGAUGUUUGUGGAAUUAAAUAAAGUAUGUACUGUUGCAUGUAUGUUAUUAUGUGUAAACUAUGUAUUGUACUUCAAUAAAGCAACAUCAUCGUUGUUCGUUCAUCUUUGGCUUCCAGUGUUGGUGUCAUUGGGUUUCAUCUUUAACUAUGUACCUUCCGCGUGGGUUGCUGCGAGACUUUAGAAGUAUUCUCUGCGAAGCAACUUUAAGGAAACAACGACAGUGAGCAAAUAGUGCAAACAAACGACCGUGUCUAGGCAUAAUAGACAAAGAAAGUUAUUAGGAUAAUUUUCUCUUAAUUAGUUUGGAUGCAGCUAUUAGAGACAAAAUUCUCUUAAAUCAGUGUGGAUAUGCGUUCAUUUGGACAAGGAAUUUCGAUCAUAUAAACGAUUAGCACAAGAAACCGCCGAGGGCUCACAUCAUCUCUAGCAGACCCCGCAUAACGCCGUCAGGCUGCCCGAGCUCGCCGUCGACACCCUCUGCCCUGUCAACGUUGUCAGGCUGCUCCACCUCAUUGCCGACGUCCUCGCCGACGACCUCUACGCCGCCUCUGCCCAGACGUCGCCGCCGCCUUGACCCGACACGACCCGAUGCUGCUGCUGCCGCCCCGACCCGACGCUACUGCCACCCCAACCCGACGCCGCCGCCGCCCCGACCCAAUGAUUUUUGGUAAAUAUUGUAUCAUUAUUUCUGUAUAAGGAGUAUGGAUUCAUAAUUUGAUUUGGUUUCAUUAUAUACCAAAUUAUUUCAGCAAGGUAUUUGUAUAUACCAUUUGAUCCAAACUUCAUGUGAAUGCAAAAUAGAGAUUAAAUAUAUUAAUUUAUGUUUAGGAAAUGACUAAUAUAAUGAAAGUGGAGAUGUUUAGAUGAAUACAUUAUGAUAUGAUGGAACCAAAGGAGAUGCACAAAAGUGCAAUUGUCGAACCAUGUAGAAAAGCUCAACCACAUGACUAUUAUCAAGUCCCGAUUCAUUCAUUCACAAAACAUAAUUCGUAUAGUGAUGAAAUUUUUUUGGCCAAUAUUAAUGGGAGCCAAAGAAAAUGUUUUGUGCAUAUUUAAAAUAUAGAAGUUUAUGUAAUUCGGUUAUUCAUACAAGGAGGUGAAAUAUUUGCACAAAGUAUGGAUCAAAGAGACUUGGAACAAGAACAGUUGUUGGGGGAGAUAAUCCUCGCCGGACAUGAUGUCUUGUUGUAUAUCAAUGACACCGAUGGUCUGGAAGGAGAGGAUAAUGGCUCGGGUGAUCAAACCAUGGAGGAGGAAGGCCAUGAUCAUGAUGGCUCCGGUGACCGAAUGCCGGAGGAAGAAGGAGACCAUGAUGAUGGCUCCGGUGACCGAAUGGAGGAGGGAGCUGUUGCAAAGUUCGGCGAGGUAUAUAUAUUAAUUAAGCCUGUACUGACUAGCUAAUUGAUGCAUUAAUUGUUUUGGUAUGUACAUAUGUUAACUCUUCUUUCUUCUUUUAUAGCCUUCCGGAUCGAGCCAAACUUCGGUAACGAGACGAGGCCCGAAGAGAAGGUUACACAAGGAUGAAAGGUUCACGAUCACAGCACUCGCAGACGAUGGCCUACCGAUUCAACCCAAGCGGACCAAGAUGCAUUUUCUGCUUAGUGCGGAGCUAUUGUUAGGGACAACAUCCCGAUCAGCAUGAAGCAAUGGAAUAAGCAUAAGGGCGACGACGUUCUUGAAGGUGAUUAUGUCACGAUAGACAGAAAGAUGAUCAUUGGACCGCCCUGAAGGUAAAUUUCACCCUACCGCCAGAGGAGGAUCCGAAUAAGCCAGUUAUAGAGCCACUGAUCAAGGCGUGUGCUCUCAAGAAGAUGACAUGUCUAUUCAGGAGGUGGAAGAAAGAGUUGAAAUCAAAGUUUGUCGACAAAGGGAAGACUCCAGAAUUCAUCGGUCGAUUUGAGAAGAUAAGAGAUCACUGGCCCGCAUUUGUGGCCUACAAGACAUCGGACAAGAGUAAGAAAAUGUCAGAGACAAACAAGAACAAUGCUGCAAAGAAGCAGUAUCACCAUCACCCGGGGUCAGGUGGCUACCUCAAAGCCUCGACAUUGUGGGACAAAGCUGAGAAUGACCUGAUUGCUAAAGGGGUUGAACCACAUACAUUGAACUAGCCAGACCGUUCAAGGACUUGGUUCUUCGGGGUUGGGAAACUUUCGACCCUGAAAUAGGGAAGUGUCGUUGGACGGAUGACCAACUUGCAAUACGCAUCAAGAAGCUUCAGAAGUAUAUCACCGCGGCGCAGGAAGGGACAUUCAUUCCCGACAGAGAGAAGGACGAGCUGACUGAGGCCCUAGGGAAUGCUGAGCACCCUGGACGAACACGAGGCACACAAGGCUCCAUUCCGUGGAAGGUUGGGUUUCCCGACACAGGCGGUUACAGAAGUCGGGAGAGAAAGAGGAAAGCGGACCUGAGCGACAUGCAGAAGAUCAAUGCAAGACUACAAAAGUUAGAGGAACUUGGGAGCCAGUGAGCUGUCGGCCAACCAUCUCAGCGGCACGAAGCUACCCCAGAAGGUACCCCGCCAUCUCAGCAGAGAAGCAGCGUGGCUUCCAUGAAGCCCGUUCAGCCUGACUUCACGGCUCCUACCUACCCCAUGGAUACUAUCACGGAGGCUCAACAUUGCGAGCUUAUGACAAAAUGCCGGAACCUCACUUUCAAGGCGGUUGUCGGCUUUGUUGCACCUCCUCAACCAAACGGAACUUUUCACUGCCUUCCGAUUCCACAUGGCUAUGCUAUUGUGAUGCUGGAUGAAGUAAUGGAGUGAUUUGAGGAGCUCGAGCUUGUCCACCCUACAGGUGAAGGGGAGAAUCAGCUGGUUCGUGCUGUGAGGAGUACAUGUCUAUGGCAGAAGGAGUACAUCAAGCUUCCAAGUUGGACGCCUCCGCCUCCUCCUACUCCUCCGGCGAGUCAGGGCACUCCGCCUCCUCCUACUCCUCCGACGAGUGAUCAAGGCACUCCGCCUCCUUCUUUGGCUCCUGCGACGCGUGAGAGCACUCCUCCUCCUACUUCGCCUACUCUGGCGCGUCAGAGUAGUCCGCCUCCUCCUUCGCCUUGUCGGCAACGUCGGAAGACAAACGCCGCCGCUCCGGCUCCUCCGGCGCAUCAGAGCAGUCCGCCUCCUUCUCUGCCUCAUCAGCAACGGCGAAAGAGAGACGCCACCGCUCCGGCGGCUAGCAGUACAAGCAGAGGCGGGAGGCAAUUCAGAUAUGGUCCAUCUCUCAAGCCUCUUGAAAAGUUACCAUAUGAGAGGACCGCGCAGGAAAACGAGGACAUAUGUCAUGCCCAAUUGAGGGACCAUUUUGCAAAGAAAACUCCACCUCCAAAGGAGAGGCUAGAUCCGGUGAAAGUGAAGUGCACUAUCAAUGCCCGGAAGCGACCACCACCACCUCCGCUGGAUUCCAACUAUGACCGCAUUCUUAAAAAGACAUAUGAAGCAGCGCGGCGGUCGGGAAGUACUUCCAGUGAUGCAAGAUUAGCAGAACGAAGAAGUGGUAAAACAAUUCCCCAGCGUGGCAAACAGGAGAAGCAAUCGUGCCCCCCUCUCAAGGUGUCUAGCGAUAUCGUCGCUAAUCCUUCGGGGAUGGUGCCCGGUACCAAUCCUGGUGAUUACUUGGGGAUGAUGUAAUUUUUCAAACGACUGAGGUAAGAAAAGAACAAUAUAAAUACAUGCACGGGAAACCUCUCAUCAAACCUAAUCAUCCUCCUCUAACAACGAUGAUGCACAAAUUGCAUGAGUGGUACAUGAAAACCUGCAUGGAGUCCGAGAAAGACACUAUGUAUGUGGCAGUGAAACCAGAGCACGAAUUUAUUGGACUUCCCGUGAUGUCUGUUGAAUUUGUGGAGUUAUUUCAGUUAUAUAAUCAACUAACCCUCGACAAACAACUCAUGACUUCCUAUUGUCUGUAAAUAUUACUUCUAUAGUUAAGUCUCUAGCUCAGCUCAUUCAUUGCAUGUAUAUAUAAUUAUCCUCACUAUAUUAUGCAGAUUGAUGAUCGUCGAAUGCAAAAAAGCAGGAAUCUUUGACGUUGGGUUCAUUAGCCCAGAUGUCGUAAAUGAAUGGACGGUACGAAACUCAAUCAAAGAGACCUAGGAGAACUUGCUAAAGUCGUUACUUAUACAUCAAAACAAAAAGGAAAUAUUGUUUUCUUACAACUUCAAGUGAGUGUUGUUGUAUUCUCUGUAUACCCGGUUUCGCUUACUCGAGGUUAAGUAAUGUAAUUGAUGAGUUAUAUAUGCGUGCGCAGUUUCCACUUUAUUCUGCUAUCCAUUAAGCUUGAUGGGGCAUUAGUAACUGUCUUAGACUCGAGACGUAAAGAUCCUGAGGGUUAUGCGGACAUGACUGCAAUGAUCAAGAAGUAAGUUCAGUCAAUACCGGGACCAUAUAGGCAUGCAACUUCGUUAAUUUCCUGAUGUCAAAGUAAUCAUUUUGUUUGCCUGACAGGGUUUGGAAGAAGUUCACCAAAAAGGUUCCCGGUCUAAAGAAAGAGUUGCGAUUUACGCACCCCCAAAGUAAGUAGUACUAGCUAGUUCCGCGCAUCUCUAAUUGAUUCAAAUUUUCAUCAAUAUAUCAGUACCAUGCUUGCUUAUCAGUUUGAUUGAACUCUAUUCUCGUAAAGUGCUUGUACCAGAAAGAAGGGAUUGUUUUAUGUGCAUACUACGUAUGCAAGUUCAUUCACAACUCGACCUCUGAGCGGGGCUUCUCUAACAAACAAUUUCAAGUACGCAAAUAAUAUUCACAAUUUUAUUUUAUAUAUUACCAUCAAUUGUGUUGAGUUUUAUUCAUAUAUAUGCAUGUAUUGACCCCCUUCCUUAAAUUAGAUCUCGCAGAUGCGGGAUGAACUCCAACCAUAUGAUUGCAUACGAGCAAUUCAAGAGGAAUUGGUGGGAUUCUUUCUUGACCACGUCAUACCUAAAGACAGAGAAUACCAUGUGGAUUUUUGAUUGGAUCUUAGGUAGAUGAUGUUAGGGAUUAUAAAAGAUGUUAUAUUGUAUAUAUGUAGUAGUGUCAUAUAGAUAUAUGAAAACUUGUUGUUCGACCAAGCAUGGAGAAAGAGAUGUCACUUCUCUAUAUAUAUGUUCAGCAUGACGAUCUUGUGUAAUUAAUGGUUUCCUUCAUUUUCUUAUUAGCUAGCGUCGAGUUUUCUCUAUAUGUAUUAUAGCUAGCGUCGACCAAGAACGGAGAAAGAGAGGGCACUUCUCUCUAUUAGCUAGCUAACACAAUAUGAAACCCGUAAAUUAACCCUCCAAACCCCCCCCCCCCCAACCCCCCCCCUUAAAAAACAAAACCCCCAGCUCCUACCAGAUGCUCACGCAUGGAUGGCCUUUGGUCCCGGUUGGUGCGACCAACCGGGACUAAAGGUCCUCCUGACUGGGCUACCCGCAGCGGCCACGUGGAGACCCUUCUGUCCCGGUUGGUAAGCGAACCGGGACUAAAGGUUUGGAGCUUUAGUCCCGACCCUUUAGUCCCGGUUCCAGAACCGGGGCUAAUGGACCUUUGGAACCGGGAUAAAUGGGCCAUUUUAUACUAGUGGUGGGGGAAAUGGGAGAGAGUUCGGACGAAAUCGAGGGACGUUAUAUGUAUAGAGACCUUUAGUCCCGGUUGGAGCCAGCAACCGGGAAUAAGGGUGAAUUUCACCAGGCGGGAAGCCCACCCCUUUAGUACUGGUUUGUGCCACGCACCGGGACUAAAGGUGGAGUUUAGUCUCGGUUGGUGCCACAAACCGGGACUAAAGGUCUUUUUCGAGUUUUUUUGUUUCUUUCUUUAUUUAUAUUCGUUUGUUUCUACUUAAAGCCAAAUACGUAGAGUUUUUGAGUGAUUUUUUUUGCUUUAGCUCACAAAAAUUAUAAACUUUCUGUCAGCGUGAGUAGUUUUCAAAUUUGAAUAAUUUAAAUUUGAAUUCUCUGAAAUUUGUGUGAAUCACUAGUUUGUGAAUAACUUUACUUUAAAAAUAGCUUGUGUAGUCAUUCUUUUUUCUGAUGUUUCAUAUUAGUGUGUUUUAUCGUUAUAUUACAUUUGAUAAUUUUUAGUUAUUUUAAAACUGAAUUGCCUUUGUAAGAGAUGAGUAUUCGUCCGAAGCCUCAUACUUCGAAAGAGAUUGUCCAGUUUGUACACGAAGUGCAUUCAAUUUUUCCCGUAACCCUCUUAACUUUUUAUCACAUGCUAUGUGGGUAAAAUGAUGAUACCAUACCAAGUUUGAGGCUUUUCAGAGUUCAUUUAUAGUGCUUUUCAAUUUCAGGAUCAUUUAGCUCAAAAAAUCGUUAAAUGCAUGAAAAAUAGCAAAUGAAGUGAGAAAGGGUUGAAAAUUGAUGACGUGGCUUUGAAUGGUGCAUAUUGAGCGCGCAAGUAUCGAGUUGAAAUAAGUUCCAAAAAAUAAAAUGCCUUUGUAAGAGAUGAGUAUUCGUCCGAAACCCUAAUACUUCAAAAAAGAUUGUCUAGUUUGUACACGAAAUGCAUCCAGUUUUCCUGUAACUCUCUCGACUUUUUAGCACAUGUUAUGUGGGUGAAAUGAUGAUACCAUGCCAAGUUUCAGCCUAUUCAAAGUUCAUUUGUAGUGUUUUUCAAUUUAAAGGUCAUUUAGCUCCAAAAAUCAUUAAAUGCGUGAAAAAUAGUAAAUGGGAGUGAGAAAGGGUUGAAAAAUGAUGACAUGGCUUUGAAUGGUGCAUAUUGAGCGCACAAAAAGUCUGGAGUUGAAAUAAGUUUUAAAAAAUAAAAUGCCUUUGUAAGAGAUGAGUAUUCGUCCGAAACCGUGAUACUUCGAAAGAGAUUGUCCAGUUUGUACACAAAGUGCAUCUAGUUUUUGCCGUAACCCUCUCAACUUUUUAGCACAUGCUAUGUGGAUGAAAUCAUGAUACCAUGCCAAAUUUCAGCCUUUUCAGAGUUCAUUUGUAGUGUUUUUUCAAUUUAAGGGUCAUUUAGCUCAAAAAAUCAUUAAAUGCAUGAAAAUAACAAAUUAUGUGAGAACGGGUUGAAAAUUGAGGACGUGGCUUUGGAUGGUGCAUAUUGAGUGCACAAAAAGUUUGGAGUUGAAAUAAGUUUUAAAAAAUGAAAUGCCUUUGUAAGGGAUGAGUAUUCGUCUGAAACCUCAUACUUCGAAAUAGAUUGUCCGGUUUGUACACGAAGUGCAUCCAGUUUUUGUUGUAACCCUCCCAACUUUUUAGCACAUGCUAUGUGGCUGAAAUGAUGUUACCAUGCCAAGUUUCACGCUUUCCAGACUUCAUUUCUAGUGAUUUUCAAUUUCAGGGUCAUUUAGCUCAAAAAAAAAUCAUUAAAUGCAUGAAAAAUAGCAAAUGAAGUGAAAAGGGUUGAGAAUUUAUGACGUGGCUUUGAAAGGUGCAUAUUGAGCGCACAAAAAUUCUGGACUUGAAAUAAGUUUAAAAAAAUGAAAUGUCUUUUUAGGAGAUGAGUAUUCGUCCGAAACUGUGAUACUUCGAAAGAGAUUGUUCAGUUUAUAUACGAAGUGCAUCCGGUUUUUUCCGCAACCUUCCCAACUUUUUAGCACAUGUUAUGUGGGUGAAAUUAUGAUACCAUGCCAAGUCUGAGACUUUUCAGAGUUCAUUUGUAGUGCUUUUCAAUUUUAUGGUCAUUUAGGUAAAAAACAAAUCAUUAAAUGCAUGAAAAAUUGUGUUUGCACAUAAUUGCAUUGAUUAACUCCUAGCUACAUAAUGUUUUUUCGCAUUUCAAAUGCCAAAACACACACCCAUAUAUAUACCCUAACUCUUACACAAAGAUUCCUUUCAGUUUGUGCGAAAUGGGACUUUCCACAUAAGCCCGGUCAAUCGAUCUCAUUCGCCAUAGAGUCGUUUUUUGUUGUUUAUAGAAGAGCUUUUCUCUUUGAUUUCAUAUGAAAGAAUUCACCAUUGUCUUUUACAAACCAUACAGUCGAUUUAUAUGUAAGUAUAUGCAUGAGUCGUUAGUUCUUGGACUCUAUCCCUCAUGGACAAACACUAGUAGAAACUUGAAUCACGUUCUCAAAAAAAACUAGAAAUAAAUUCGGUACAAGGCCAGUUGGAUGUGGAGUGAUUUUGCUGCCCAUCUAAGUUUGUUGAUUCUGAAAUAAUAUGCAGGCUACACAUGGAGUUGCCCCGUGUCCGCUUUGUGCAUGGGGCUGGAUUGUUCAUGGAGCAGCAGGAGAGAAGAUCGUCGUGCCGUUCAUGCCAGACUUUGCGGCAUUGGGCAUGUCCUCAAUUUUGCCCUCAGCCCAACCGCCAAGGCCAUCGCCUGCAUCGUAGUUGGCCCCGUGGCGACAUCCUCCGUCUUGCGAUCAUACAAGUAUGUAGCACUCCCUAAUCAGUAAUCACCUCCUUAAUAAUUUUUCUACACUCGCGAACAAGAACGCUGGACUCGCUUUGUGGAGAUCUAAAGCGUUUUGUCUAUAUUGGAACAUACAUGUAAAACAAUGUAGUAUUUGUUUUGGUUUGCUCCAGUAUCUCAAAAUACAACCACGGAGUUUUUCUCCACGAGAUUCACGCUGGACUUCCCAUGGCAAGAACCAGGGUUAAAUACCUAAUGAGAUUAUAUAGAGGGGGCAUUCAAGCAGAAAAUGCAUGACGUGCAAGCUCCCUCGCUCACAUCUACUCCUCGCUUCAUCCUACUAUCACCGGUGUUCAAUCUUGUUCAUACUAAACACGUGCAUUAGCUCUCAUGCUUAAAGCAUGAAAAGCAUUAAUCUGCAUACUUGAUCAUGCUUAGUUUUUGUUUUUGAAUUGUUUGGAUUGCUUGCCACAUAUGUCAUAUAAUCAGUGGCGUAGCCAGGGGGUGGACAGAGUGGUCCAUGGACCACCCUGAAAUUCCACCAUAACCAAUAUAUAGGGUAGAAAAAAGAUAUAUAUUUUUUAUAAUGCAAAAAAAUACAUGAAAUUUUUAUUAUUGGACCAUCCUCGCUCACCAAGCUAGCUACGCCACUGCAUGUAAUGAUCAUGCUUAGGUAAUGCGUUAAAUAUAUGCAUAUUAUUGUCCCCGCAACAAAAUGUCUAAAUUGUCCUGAUAGUUUACUAGAUGUGUGCUCUGUCAUCCGUGAUGCGCUGCCGACUCACGAGAAUCACCGACAAUGUUGUCCUUAAUUUUUCUGCUAAGGUGAUGAAACUAAGCAUGAUCAUUACUGGUUGGGAGGAGCUUUUUACCGUGCCCCUUAAAAACAUUACAGGUCGGAGUCGUUUAGUGGUUCUAUUCGGACAGUUUUUUUCACCUAAAAAUGUAAACCGACAGUUAUUUUAUAGUUUCACGAGUUAUACAGGAUCUGUUAGAGAUGCUCUUAGCGGCUUGUGAAUCCUAAACUGUGACCUUAUACUAUUAGACACGCACCAUUUAGUACAUUCAAUCAGGCAUGAACCAAAGCAAGCAACCAACAAUUAAUAAUCACGGAUCAAACAAUGUUAGUUAUUUUCGCAUUAGCCUGAUGCAUGUGCAGCGUUCACACGCACAUGACCAUGCAAAUGCUAGAAGACAUGUAUUUUGUUUUACAAGUAAUCCGUUGACCACGCAAUCCUCAGCUUGCUUUGAGUUAUCUGAUUGCUCCACGGAUGCAAUGACCAUAAAAAUGCUGGUCUACUGGAAGACAUGUAUUUUGUUUCACAAGUAAUCUGUUGACCACGCAAUCCUCAGCUCGCUCUAAUUAUCUGAUUGCACCACGAAUGCAAUGACCAUGCAAAUGCUGGAAGAUAUGUAUUUCGUUUGACAAUUAAUCUGCUGACCACACCAUCCUUAGCUUGCUCUGAGUUAUCUGAAUGCACCACGGAUGCAAUGACCACACAAAUGCUGGAAGACCUGCAUUAUGUUUGACAAUUAAUCUGCUAACCACGCCAUCCUCACUGUGAUCAUCCCGCUCUUUCGCUUUCGCUUGGCAUGUACGAUACCUAAGACCUUGGUACAUACAGCUAUAAAUAGACCUCACAUUUGUGCUCAUCUUCAUCACACCAUCCUUGGUACUACUACUAGCGCCAUCCUACACGCACUCACCAGAAUGAAGAUUUUGUUGGUCCUAUUUCUCCUUGCUCUCACUCAAAGCACUGCCUAUGCGCAGUGCGAAUUUGUUAUAUUGGUCACAACAGGAAAUAAAGAAGAUGCGGGCACCGACGCUCGUAUAUCUUUAUCGGUGAGCACCGCAAAUGGAAAGAAGCUGGUUAUUGAGAGCCUGAAACCUUGGGGCCAGAAGGGCCACAACAACUUCGAGAGAGGCCACACCGACACAUUUGAGGGCCGCGGUAAGUGUUUACCGUCCAAACCUUGCAGGAUGUUGCUCGAGUCUAAUGGUAAAGGUAACAAACCCGGUUGGUUUGUGGACAAAGUCGCGUUCAGCCAAAUCGAGCCAAAUUUGUCCGUGAAGCAGAAGACAUUCAAGGUGAAUAGGUGGCUUGCACGCGAAGAGUCACCG
rnacentral:lncRNA from 1 species